AACGAUAUAAGGAGCUCGUCGCCUCCCCGCAACCCUAGGGCUCCCGUUUUCCCCUUCUCCUCCCUCUCGCGCCGUCAGGGAAGGGCCUCCGACGCGGACGCCAUGGGAGGUCCUCAGUGAGCUCGAGCAGCAGCAGUUCGCGGACUCCUCCGCUCCUUCGAUAGCACUAGGUGGACGCGGUGGCCGAGGAGAUCCCGUUCCCAUAGCAACCUGAUGGCUUCUUCCUCGACGUCCACGUUGUCUUCUUCCUCCCCUGCUGUCGGCGAACUCCUCUGCUUCGGAUCGACGCCCUCCUUCCUCUCCUGCACCGGUUCAUCAUCUAGGUUCUAGGUGAGCGUUCCCCGCUUCUUCCCCCUCUCUGGUAGCACGAGUAGGUGAACAAAGCGACGACUGUCCAGAGUAGUGCGUAGGAGCUCGAGCAGCAGCACCACCGUAGCUAGGUGGUCGUAGAUCCGGCGUAGCAGUGCUUCUAUCGGAGAGAUUAGGCCGGGAAUGGAAUCCAUGUGGUUCCUACUUCCCCCCCCNNNNNNNNNNNNNNNNNNNNNNNNNNNNNNNNNNNNNNNNNNNNNNNNNNNNNNNNNNNNNNNNNNNNNNNNNNNNNNNNNNNNNNNNNNNNNNNNNNNNCUGAACACCUACUUACGUCAAACAUAACCCCACCAUGUUCCCCAUCGAAGAGAGGUCUUCGAAGGAGACAGUCACGGUUACGCACACAGUUGGCAGUUUUAUUAGAGUUAGUUCAAGUUAUCAGGACCGGAUGUUAACAAAUUAUCCAUGCUUGCCACAUAACCGCAGGCACGACUUUCCGAAAGAUUAAACCCUGCAGGGGUGCUCCAACUAGUCCAUCAAAACGGUCACGAGCCGCAAAGUAAUCCUCUAUCACGAAUCUCGUGAUCUCGUCGGAUUCCUUAGAGGAAAACCUCAACUUUGAGGAGACCCAAAGUUUCAUCGGGAUUCCUAUACGCAAGAUAUAUCGCUAAGGUAAGACAAAUCUAGCAGGACCUCCCGACGUNNNNNNNNNNGGGAGACCGAAAGUUUCACCUGGAUUCCUAUACCCAAGAUAUAUCGCUAAGGUAAGACAAAUCUAGCAGGACCUCCCGACGUGUCGACGACCCCGAUAAGAGCCGCGUAUCUCAGUCUCAGGACACGCCGGAUAAGCGAAGCGUACGGUGGCCUGAUAGAAAUCUCCUGAGUUGCCCCGGGUUGGCCCCGCACGGUGCUCUGGUUUGGACCAACACUCAUGAGGAGCACUGGCCCGGGUUGUUGAUUAAAUCCUCGGGGUAGCUAUUCCCUAUGCAAAUUAUUAUUAGGUGAUUAGCAAAUUAAAACCAAUGUUGGGUCCUACCGGACAAGCCUUAACACUACACGAUUUAUCAAGGGGGACCCCAUAACAACCCCGAACGUGUUAGGAGCGAUCAGUUAUGGAAUCAANNNNNNNNNNAAUAAGAGCCGCGUAUCUCAGUCUCAGGACAUGCCGGAUAAGCGAAGCGUACGGUGGCCUGAUAGAAAUCUCCUCAGUUGCCCCGGGUUGGCCCCGCACGAUGCUCUGGUUUGGACCAACACUCAUGAGGAGCAUUGGCCCGGGUUGUUGAAUAAAUCCUCGGGGUAACUAUUCCCUAUGCAAAUUAUUAGUAGGUGAUUAUAAAAUUAAAACCAAUGUUGGGUCCUGCCGGACAAGCCUUAACACUACACGAUUUAUCAAGGGGGUCCCCAUAACAACCCCGAACGUGUUAGGAGCGAUCAGUUAUGGAAUCAAACACCGGUAGCCGAAACUAAGGUGGCAACAACGGAACAAGUCACCUGGCAAAAGGCUAGGCCUUCCGUCAUUUACCAAGUAUAUAGGUGCAUUAAUUAAAUAGAAGAUUAAUCAUAAUGAUAUCAAAAUACUCAUGUUAUCACAUGAGACAGCUGGCACCUGCAACUAACAAAACUAAUCAUUAGAAGUUGAGCAAGCCUACUUAGCCAAACAUUAGCUAGGAGGGGAAGGUGUUUUGGGUUUCAUGGCAUUAACAAGAGGCAUUUUAACAAGUGGUAGGCAGUGAGCAUAUAUCGAAGGAAACGUGAUUCUAAGCAUAACAAAGCUAGAUAUGGUAUCAAGGUCACGGUCAUCUUGCGUGUGAUGUCUUUAGCUUGGAACUGCUCUUGAUCGUCCUGCACGUACUCUCCAGAAUCCACGUACUCGCUCUCUGAUCCCGGUGCUACCCAAGAUAAAAAAACAGCCAAUGUACUCCAACACAACAUGAUGCAACAAAUAAUGUGAUGCAUGAGAUGAGAAGGAAGCAUGCCUCACUAUUCUAGUCACUUGCAUAUACAUGAGAUGAGAAGAUAAACUUCUGGACAGAACUUCACACUAAGCUAUCUUGACAUGCAUGAGGAUGGCAUGAAGAGGUGCAUCACGAGAAAACGAUGCAAAAACAUAUAAAGAACGUUGAGAACGGAGCUACGGAUCAACCGGAAACUACGAAACAAGAUAUGGAGUCCUACGGGUGAAAUCAAACACAAGAACACUCCAAUGGCACUCUUCUGGUGUUCCCAGGUUGCCACAUGAUCAAACAAACAAAUAUAAGUGGAGUGGUGCAAAGAAACUCACCACACCACCAACAAUACUCACACAAGCUUCAAAACAACUAAAACAUGCAAUCUGACCUAAACAACAUCAUAGCAGUUUGCCUACAACAUUCAAAGUACCUACAGCCACCUAAAUGAGCCAAACAAGAUAUGUGGCAAAAGACAUUCAAAAGCUCUACAAGCCUGAGCAAUAAGCUACUGAAAAGGCAUCACACGUAAGAAGAUCUAUGGACACAAACUUGGACAAAAAUAAUAGAUUUCUCGGACUUAGUGAAAAUCUCAGAUUUUCACUAGCUGCUUAUGCUCUGAAGCAUUUUGGCAGCCUCCAAAAUGAUAUCUACAGGAAGUGAAAGUGCAUGAAAUUUAACGGAGGGCUAGACAAACCCAAAAUCUCACAAACCUUAGUUUGUUGCAUGGGUUGAUUCCCAAUACAUGAGCUUGUGCAACCACAUCAACAAGGGAAGAAAAUAACAGCAGUUUCUCAGAUUUUCACAAAGCUGACAAUUUCAGCCAAGUGUCAACUUUGACAANNNNNNNNNNNNNNNNNNNNNNNNNNNNNNNNNNNNNNNNNNNNNNNNNNNNNNNNNNNNNNNNNNNNNNNNNNNNNNNNNNNNNNNNNNNNNNNNNNNNGGCAUAAGAACCUUGGUUUGCUCAUGAAUAUUAUAUACUUAGCUUGUUUUCCUCUAAAAUGACAUAAUUAGCCCAUUUAGCUCCAAAAUGGCCUAUUUAAUAAAACAAUGACCUAUACUUACCUAAGUUCUCUUCUAAAUGACAUAAUAAGGCUAUGUAGCUCCAAGAUGACCUAUUCCACCUAACUUAGCUAUUAAAUGGCCUAUAAUUAGCUUAGCUAGCUCGCAAAUGGCUUAAUAAUCAUAGUUGGCUCCAAAAUGACAUAUUUUACCCAAGUUAGCUCUAGAAUGGCCUAUACUUUGCUUGGCUUCCACCUAAAUGACAUAAUUAGCUUAAUUAGCUCCAAAAUGGCCUAUUUAAUAAAAAAUGACCAAUACUUACCUAAGUUCUCUUCUAAAUGACAUAAUAAGGCUAUGUAGCUCCAAUAUGACCUAUUGCACCUAACUUAGCUAUUAAAGGCGUGUUCAGAGUCCCUCCACUCCACCACUCCGCUCCAGGAGCGGGUGGAGCUGAAGUUCAAAACUGUGGAGCGGGUCAAUAGACACUCCGUGGAUCCUUGAAUUCGAGGGAGCCGGUUGAUUGCCGAACAACCCCUAAAUGGCCUAUAAUUAGCUUAGCUAGCUCCAAAAUGGCUUACUAAUCAUAGUUGGCUCCAAAAUGACAUAUUUUAUCCAAGUUAGCUCUAGAAUGGCCUAUACUUAGCUAAGUUCUCUCCUAAAUGACAUAAUAAGUCUAUGUAGCUCCAAGAUGACCUAUUCCACCUAACUUAGAUAUUAAAUGGCCUAUAAUUAGCUUAGCUAGCUCCAAAAUGGAUUAAUAAGCAUAGUUGGCUCCAAAAUGACAUAUUUUUUCCCAAGUAGCUCCAAAAUGACAUAUACUUAGCUAAGUUCUCUCCUAAUGACAUAAUAAGGCUAUGCAGCUCCAAGAUGACUUAUUCCCCCUAACUUAGCUAAGUUCUCUCUGAAAUGACCUAUACUUUUCUUCUUCAUCUAGUCUUCUUCUUCUAACUUUUUAUUUGCCAUUUUGUAGAUUACAUUCACUUCACGGGAAGCUUGGAUUAUAUUGAUGGAGUGCUUGAAUAUGGUUGAUUCUACCAUGGCUUCACGGAAGCUUGGAUUGAAACUAUUGUAGUAUAUGGAUAUAUAUGUAACUUUGAAUGCAUGGAUGAAACUAUUGUAAUAUAUGGUUUGGUACGGAUGCAACUUGCAUAAUAUGUAUGUAUUAUGGAUGAAAGUUAUUUUAAUAUGGUUAUGAGUAUGGAAACAAAAUUAUUUCUGUCAAAUAUAUAUAUAUCCUGAUUAUUGUGAAAAUUAUUCCUGAUUUGUGUGAAAAUUGCUGGAUAUUAUAGAAAAUAAAAUAAACAGGGUUUGUUUUGAGCCUUUGUCGUCCGCCCACCAAUGGCAAAGGGCAUGCAGCAGAGGGAAAAGGCUCAAACAUGCGUGGGAUGAAACAUGCUGGGGUGCCCCUUUGCCGUUGGCCUGAGACAUGGCUGACGACAAAAGAGGAGGGCAGACGACAAAGGUGAGGGAGAGAGGGGCUGGGUGCCCCCCUUUGCCGUCGGCCUCAAACAUGGCUGACGACAAAGGGGGGGGGGUAGGGAAGACGACAAAGGUGGGGUAGGGCAGAUGACAAAGGGGGGGUAGGCCUAGCAGGCUGCCGUUAGCACUUAACGGGAGCGAUUGCGAAUCUGCCAUCCCAUUUUGUUUGCCAUUAGCCCCACCAUGGCAAAGAUUCUUUGUAGUCCGCCUUCCAAAGGCACACGACAAAGAACCUCUUUGCCGGAUAAAUCUUUGCCGUCUAGUUUGCCGUCCGGGGCGCCCCCCUUUGCCGUCUGCCCUGCCGGACGACAAAGUUUCUAAUCCCUGUAGUGCACAUAGCUACUGUAGAAGAUCUCAGCCCCGAGGAGGAACUACUCCCGCUUCAUGGAGGGAGGAAGCAACAUCGACGGAGAUGAAUCCCGGGGCACUUCCCUGUCCCGGCAGGGUGCCGGCACAGGAAUUCUGGUCCCCCGAAACUUGUUGACGAUGGCGGCGGAUAUUGGAAUUGCUUUUGGCGAAAAGGGUUCCAGAAUCAGCAUUUCCUCCACGGGGGUAAAAGUAGGAGCCGAGGUAGGGUUCCAGAGGAGGUGGGCCCCACCCAAGCGGCCUGUGGGCGCGACCAGGGGGUAGGCCGUGCAGGGAGGCCGCCUGGGCGACGCCUGGCUCCCCUCUAGCGAACCUUUGGUGCUCUCGAAGCUUCUGUCACGCUGAUUUUUAUAUAUUUUUCUUGGGAUUUUUGGGACUCGGUAAAUUGGGGUAAAAGUCCGUGCAAAAAAAGACAUCAGCAGACAAAAACUAGCACUAGGUGCACUGAGUUACUAGGUUUGUCCAAAUAUGUGUCAAAAGGUAUGAAAGUGUACAAAACACAUAGCAAUAUCACCCAAAACUUGCAUGGAGCAAGCAGAAAUUAUAGAUACGCUUGGGACGUAUCAACAUCCCCAAGCUUAAUUCCUACUCGUCCUCGAGUAGGUAAAUGAUAACAAGCAUAAUUUAUGUGGUGACAUGCUAACACACAUAUAAGAACUUCAAAGUAAAGCAAGCAAGAUAUGAAAUUCAAGUCAAGACAAUAACAAGCAAGAGUCUAUAUCUAGUAUUGAAACUAGCAAAGUAAGAACAUAAAGGUGCAAGAGCUCUCGCUGUCCGUGACUCGAAUGUCUCCAAAUGGUGUUUGCGUGCAAGAAGCGGGAGAUAGGUUUAGAGCAUAAAAAUAGUAUUUAAUUGAGAACUCAAUCUACUAAAACUUUACACUUGGUCUCCUUCAGAAUCUUAUUUUGACUCAUCGCCAGACCACUAGUCAGGCACAAGUCAAAAUGAUCCUCUCCCUUUCGACUUUGAGCACUCAUACAAUGGAUGAGCGCAAUCAAGAUAUGUUGGCACUUAGGAUGGAAAAUAGAAUAAUGAUGGGGAAGGACGACAAAUAGGUGUGAAAGGCUCACAUCAAUGAGGACAACCAUAGGCGAGAGAAGGCCAAAUGAUAGAUAUGAUGUGAGGAGUAGGGAUUGCCAUGCAACGGAUGCAUGAAUGAUAAUCUCUAUGUAGUACAAAUAUAACAAUGGAGUACGAGUGUGGAUCUUUCAAAAGGAAUAGUAGUGUUGCCCCCUUCUCUCUUUUUAUUUCUUUUUCUUUUUUUCUUUUUUUGUGUGGCCUCUUUGGUGCUUUAUAUAAUUCUCUCAUUUGUCGUCUUUGGGAUCUUUUCAUUUGUCCUCUUUGGGAUCUUUUCCUCACUUAAGGGCAACACUCUAUGUUUUACAAGAAUAAAAAGAAGAUCAUCACACUUUAUAAGAAGUACUCAACAUAAAGACAAAUGAAAACUAUCAUGAUGUAUGCAAAUGUAUGCCUCUACCAGUGUAGGAGGAUAUGCAAUGAUACUAGCACGUCAUGCAGCAAUAAUAAGGACAAGGACCAACUAGCAUGCGGCUCCUCGAUCAAGCAAAAGCAUGUAUGACAUGAAGAUCAAGUCAUGAGAUGGUGGAUGUUGCAUGGCAAUGUAUCUCGGAAAGGCUAUGGAAAUGCCUUAAUAGGUAGGUAUGGUGGCUAUUUUGAGGAAAGAUAUAAUGAGGCUUAUGAUGACAGAGUUUAUCAUGUCAAGGGUUUGGAUGAACCGGCGAAGUUUGCACCAACUCUCAAGAUGAGAAAGGGAAAUGCAUGGUACCGAAGAGGCUAGGGAUGGUGGAAGUUGNNNNNNNNNNNNNNNNNNNNNNNNNNNNNNNNNNNNNNNNNNNNNNNNNNNNNNNNNNNNNNNNNNNNNNNNNNNNNNNNNNNNNNNNNNNNNNNNNNNNCUUGAAACCCAAAGUAGUAAUUUCAUCACUACUCAAAGUUUUGAUAUCCUCUACUCCGCUUUCAAUGCUUCUAGCAUCAAGGUAGAUAGACUCCGAAUCAUUGGGGCGUUUUCCAACCAAAGUGGAUUCAUAUCCAGCCCCAUCAUCAUUAGGUUUAACAUUAGAAAACAAGGAUUCAAUGGGAGUCACACCAAGCACUUUAAGAUCUUUGUGAUUCUCAUCAUGAGAACACACCUUUUCAAGCCAUUCAUGUCUAGCACGAAUUUGGGCGGUUCUUUCUUUACUCUCAUUCAUGAAACACGCAUAGCUUUGAAAGUUUCAUCCAUAUUAAUCUUGGGAGGAGCACAUCUCAAUUUCAAAGCAUCAAUAUCAAGAGACAUUAUAUCAACGGUCCUAGCCAAGUCAUCAAUUUUGAGCAGUUUUUCUUCUAUGGACGCAUUGAAAAUCUUUUGCGAGUUGAUAAUCUCUUUAAUAUUACUCUCAAGAUCAUAGGUUAAUUUAUUGUAAUUUCCAUGAGCAUUGUUGUAGGAAUUGCCAAAGUUAUUAGAAGGAUUACUAGGAAAAGGCCUAGGAAUAAAGUUACCUCUAUAAGCAUUGUUGUUGCCAAAAUCAUUCCUACCAACAAAAUUAACAUCCAAGCUCUCAUUGCUAUUCUCAAUCAAGGAAGACAAAGGUAUAUCAUUUGGAUCUAGACGAGCACCUUUACUAGCAAACAAUUUCAUUAACUCAUCCAUCUUAGAACUCAAAGAGUUAAUUUCUUCUAUAUCACGCAUUUUUUUACUAGUAGGUGACCUUUCAGUGUGCCAUUGAGAAUAGUUUGUCAUGAUAUUGUCUAGGAGUUUUGUGGCUUCUCCUAAUGUGAUUUCCAUGAAGGUUCCACCGGAGGCGGAAUCCAAGAUAUUUCUAGAAGCAAAAUUCAAACCAGCAUAGAAGAUUUUUAUAAUCAUCCAAAGACUCAAGCCAUGAGCGGGACAAUUUCUAAUCAUCAAUUUCAUCCUCUCCCAAGAUUGUGCAACAUGUUUAUGAUCUAGUUGCUUAAAAUUCAUGAUAUCAUUAUGGAGAGAGAUAAUCUUAGCCGGUGGAAAAUACUUGGAUAUAUAAGCAUCUUUACACUUGUUCCAAGAAUCAAUGCUAUUUUUGGGUAAAGAUGAAAACCAAAUUUUUGCUCGAUCUCGUAAUGAGAACGGAAAUAACUUCAAUUUAAUCACAUAAUUAUCCACAUCUUUCUUCUUUAGUGGCAGGAGCAAUCGGAGUACUAAUAAAAUCAUUAUUAUUAGUAUUCGAGAAGUCACACAAUUUGGUGUUUUCAGUCAUGGUGACUUCAGCAAGCAGACAAGCACACAAGCGAACAGAAAGCAAGCGAAAGAAAAGGCGAACGAAAAAGGCAAAUAUUUUUGUAUUUUUUUUUCAGAAGUGGGGGAGAGGAAAACGAGAGGCAAAAGGCAAAAAAGUAAAUGCAAGAGAUGAGUUUGUGAUAGUUACUUGGAUGAGCUUCACUUAGAAUAAUCCCCGGUGCCAGAAAUUGACAUGUUGAAGGGAGACUAUUCUUGACUUGAUACUCCCCGGCAACGGCGCCAGAAGUUCUUCUUGCUACCUCUUGAGCUUGCGUUGGUUUUUUCCCUUGAAGAGGAAAGGUUAUGCAUCACAGUAGCAGUAAGUAUUUCCCUCAGUUUGAGAACCAAGGUAUCAAUCCAGUAGGAGUAUCAAGACAAGUCACCAAUGUACCUGCGCAAAAACAAACAAACUUGCACCCAACGCUAUAAAGGGGUUGUCAAUCCCUUCACGAUUAAUUGCAAGGUGAGAUCUGAAGGUGGAAAGUGCAACAAAGUAAAAGUGUAGAGCUGAAAUUAUGAUGUGAACUAGACCCGGGGGCCAUAGUGUUCACUAGAGGCUUCUCUCAUGAUAGCAAGUAUUACGGUGGGUGAACGAAUUACUGUCGAGCAAUUGAUAGAACCGCGCAAAGUCAUGACAAUAUCUAAGGCAAUGAUCAUACAUAUAGGCAUCACGUCUGAGACAAGUAGACCGAUACUGUCUGCAUCUACUACUAUUACUCCACACAUCAACCGCUAUCCAGCAUGCAUCUAGUGUAUUGAGUUCAUAACGAACAGAGUAACGCCUUAAGCAAGAUGACAUGAUGUAGAGGGAUAAAUUCAUGCAAUAGUUAUAAACCCCAUAUUUUUACCCUUGAUGGCAACAACAUGAUGUGUGCCUCGCUACCCCUUCUGUCAAUGGGUGAGGACACCGCACGGUAUGAACCCAAAACCAAGCACUUCUCCCAUUGCAAGAAUUAUAGAUCAAGUUGGCCAAACGAAACCCACAACUCGAAGAGAAUUACAAGGAUACGAAAUCAUGCAUAUAAGAGAUGAGAGGAAACUCAAAUAAUAUUCAUAGAUAAUCUGAUCAUAAAUCCACAAUUCAUCGGAUCUCGACAAACACACCGCAACAGAAGGUUACACCGGAUAGAUCUCCAUGAAGAUCAUGGAGAACUUUGUAUUGAAGAUCCAAGAGAGAGAAGAAGCCAUCUAGCUACUAGCUAUGGACCCGAAGGUCUGCGGUGAACUACUCACGCAUCAUUGGAGAGGCAAUGGUGUUGAUGAAGAAGCCCUCCAUGUCUGAAUCCCCCCUCGGCAGGGCACCAGAACGUGCCCCAGAUGGGAUCUUGCGGAGAGAGAAGCUUGCGGCUGCAGGAAAAGUAUUUUCGUGGCUCUCUCUGGCAGUUUUGGAUUUUUAGGGAAUUUAUAGGCGGAAGAAGUAGGGCAAAGGAGCCAUGGGGGGCCCACAAGCCUGGUAGGCGCCCCCCAGGCCAUGGCUAGGGGGCUUGUCGCCUCCCCUAGAAUCCUUUGCCUUGGUUCUCAAGUUCCUUGCGUAUCUUGUGUUACGGAAAAAAUCUUUCCGAAGGUUUUAUUCCGUUUGGGUUCCGUUUAAUAUUCUUCUGUGAAAAGGGUCAAAACCAUGGAAAAAACAGGAACUGGCACUUGGCACUGAGUUAAUAGGUUAGUCCCAAAAAAGAUAUAAGAUAGCAUAAUCAUGCAAACAAAACAUCCAAAGUUGACAAGAUAAUAGCAUGGAACCAUAAACAAUUAUAGAUAUGUUGGAGACGUAUCAGGGGGUUUAGGUGUGUCCACAGCCCUCCCAACCCUCCUUUAUUUAUAGGAGGAAGGGUUGAGGGGGUCGUACACCCUAAUAAACCCUAGGAGGGGGCGGCGGCGGCCCUAGGGGUGGCUUGCCUCCCAAGUUGGACCACUACAAGGAAUAUGCUAAUACACGACGCUAUUUUUUCGUCGCUACAUCAUCACGGUUUUUAAUUUACGACGAUCUCACGACGAAAAACCAAGCGUCGAAAACGGAGCGUCACAAAUGGACAACAGCGAUGUUUUGAUCAAAAUCGUCGUAACCUUUACGACAAUUCCUGGAUUGUCGUAACCUUUACGACGAUCCUAAAUCGUCGUUGGCAAUCAAACCCAGUCCUACGUGGCAGUCCUAGGUGGCAAAAUUACGACGAAAUCAAAACGUCAUGGUUGAAAUCAGCCCAACCCAUUUCAAUUGAUCACAUGGGCUGGUUUUUUUGGGGGCUUUUUCUUAUUGGGCCUUAGCCUAUUUACAGCCACUUUAGUAAUCAUUUUUGGGCCCUAGCCUUUUAGUGUCCAAAUACAUUUGAUCCAAUUUCAGUUUUGGCCUUUUUUUCAUUUUUAAAUUCAGCAACUUUUUUUAUUUUAUGUUGUUAAUGAAUCUAUGAAUAACAGCCCAGUCAUGUGAAUUUUCAGAAAACAUUUUGACAGCAUAAUGCGUUGAAAGAAUCCAAACCAACAAGAAUGAUGCAAUGUUGUUGUUCAUUUCAAAACUGAUUCGUGCACUCCAAGUGCAAGUGAGUCAAUACAUUCACUAGAUUAAACUUUCCAUGUCACCAUCCUACCACAACAUUUCCACAACACCCCAAACUAAAAAAAUUACUCGCUCAUGGAUGAAUUUAACAGCCACUACUACUCGCUGCUGGCCCUUCCUUGCUUGUCUUGUCAUUCUUCCACAACGCAGGCAUCGACUCGCCAAGACAGGCCUUCCUUCCUUCCGUGCAUUGAAUACAAAAGGAGCUCAGAUAUAGCACCCAGUAGAACGCCAAGCCAUCAUCAGACACUUCACACCAUACGUCUUUAUCAAACACUUCACACCAUACGACACCCAGUCGUCCAACUACAACCAAGUGGCACUACAAGCUCCAUCCAUCGGGUCUUCUCGCCUUUGCAAUAUCAAACUUUCUGAUGACCUGGGCAGGGAGACACACACACACAUAGAGAUAACAAGAUUAACCGGUGGCCUCAAGAACCCAUAAAGGACAAACAAGCCAUAGAGCCAAAGCAACAUAAAUUUGUAGAACAACAAAAAGAACAAUAUGUGUUGCAUGUAUUUUAUACCAGGAAAAGGAACAACAGCCUAAAAGCCUACAUAUGCACUACAUUGGCUGAUAGCCGCACAACAAAAAAAUUAUCAAGCUGCAACUAUGAUACUCUCUUGGUUGCAACUAGCCUGGCCAGUGUCGGAUCACGUUGGGACAGUGUCUAACCAUUUUGUUACUUUGUGCAAGUGGCACUACAGAAAAAAUAUAUUAUAAGUUGGGGUGUAUCUAAAUGUAAGCCAGUCCUCAUACUUGUAAGCCCGGUAUGAAAGGAAGAAACCACAUUAAACAAAGUGACCUACUUGAUUUUCUUAUAGGUUGCUUGCAUGGAAUUUUCGUGUGAAAAAUCACAGCGAAAUACAUAUGCACGAAUCUCGUCAUUGUGUGUAACCGUGAACCUUUUUUUAAUUACAAUAAAGGGGCCGUAUGCAUCGUGCUGAUGCAGAGGCCGGAGGUAACCCUCUUUUUCUAAAAAAAAACUACAUUCAGAUCAACAUGCAUGCAUGCACGGUGAAAUGCAAAUAUAAACUCAGGUAUUUGUUCUGCUGAAGAAUCGAGCAAGACAAGUUCUCCAACAAAAAAACAAGUUCAACUAAGAGUGUCGUGGGUAUAAGCCUGACAGUAGAUGUGUAGGGUACGAAAGGAUGGGCAGAGCCUUAGCUACGACGAGGUUGUAUGAGUUCAGGCCCCUCUGCGGUGGAGGUAAUAGCCCUACGUCUCAGUGCUCUGGGAGNNNNNNNNNNNNNNNNNNNNNNNNNNNNNNNNNNNNNNNNNNNNNNNNNNNNNNNNNNNNNNNNNNNNNNNNNNNNNNNNNNNNNNNNNNNNNNNNNNNNNNNNNNNNNNNNNNNNNNNNNNNNNNNNNNNNNNNNNNNNNNNNNNNNNNNNNNNNNNNNNNNNNNNNNNNNNNNNNNNNNNNNNNNNNNNNNNNNNNNNNNNNNNNNNNNNNNNNNNNNNNNNNNNNNNNNNNNNNNNNNNNNNNNNNNNNNNNNNNNNNNNNNNNNNNNNNNNNNNNNNNNNNNNNNNNNNNNNNNNNNNNNNNNNNNNNNNNNNNNNNNNNNNNNNNNNNNNNNNNNNNNNNNNNNNNNNNNNNNNNNNNNNNNNNNNNNNNNNNNNNNNNNNNNNNNNNNNNNNNNNNNNNNNNNNNNNNNNNNGCCUACGUUACAGGUAACAUAAGUCUUAAAUGCUAAUAAAGGCACGGGGAAACGUAUGACCGUUUCCCUCCAGGGGGUUACGAGGCUCAGAGUGGAGUCCAGACGGUUAGUUUGAUACGCUCCGAAUGCUAGUCUCCGACUAGAUGGUCGAAGACCUGUUACCGACUGGAUGAUGGGAACUCCUUAGUUCAGUCGGAACUGACUAAGGGACUUGUCCCUUAUGAGAGGUAGUCCUUGGGUAGGACCUACAGGGCAGGCCUAUGACCCUACCAUAGGACUAUAACCCCAUCAUUAGUCCCCGAAUGGAUUGGGAUUGGAACGACGAAGCGAUGCUUGAAGUUUGGAUCCGACUGAUACGGAUGUGACUUUGGCGUUGCCUGCCUCAAUCCAUUUUAUCUUUUCUGACCAACGAUCCGAGUGGAAGUAUUUGUGAAACAAACUGUCGGAAACCGAGUGCUUCCGUGGCAUCUUCUGACGUGACCAGUCAACUGACAGCGGCGGAUUUUCCGGGAUCCUCAAAUUUCGGUUACCGCACGCUCAGCGGGGAUGACGACAUCGCGCUCGAGUAGCGCCUGACGCCUCGAUUCCCGCGCCUUCAUCUUCUCCACUGAUAUCGCCGCGGUCGGUCGGUGGAUAAGAUUUCGGGGCCACUUGCCAGUGACCCAGUCGGAACCUUACUUAAAUCCCAGCGGCGAGGGUUUUUUCGUUACGCUUGUCGGACAUCUCGCCUUUGCUCCGCUUCCUUCGCCAUCCUCUGCGCAUCCUAAGCUUCUUCCUUCUCCUUCUCCCUCGCGAAUCCGUAGCUUCCGCCAUGACAAAGGGGCAGACUAGCAAGCUAGAGGCGCGGAAGAAGAGGGGGAAGGUGGCGGCUCCUGCGCGGAAGCAGCGAACGCUACCGGCGGGGUGGAUCCAGGGGGACUUCCUCCCCUCCACUGUGAUGGAAGAGGACCUGCUGGAGCUGGUGGAGCACGGGCUGAUCGUGCACAAGUCGUGGAGGCUGUCGGCGGAGGGUGAGACCGAGCCGGCGCCCCGGGAGGGGGAGCGCGUCCUGCUGCUCAGCCACAUGCAUUGAGGUUUCUCCUUGCCCCCGCAUCCUUUCUUCAAAGGCAUAAUGAAUCACUUCGGGGCCCAGCUCCACCACUUUCCCCCGAAUGCCAUAGCCCAUCUCUCUGCUUUCGUAGUCUUGUGCGAGUGCUUCAUCGGUUGUCCUCCCCAUUGGGGGCUUUUCAAACAUAUCUUCUCUGCUAGAUCCCAAACUAUCAAACGACUUAAUCAGUCGGAUGAUAAGACUCACCUUCUCUAGCUCUGCGGAGGCUUAGGCUUCCAAAAGAAGAGCAAAGGUAGUUAUCCUGCUCUUCAGCUGAGUGAAUCGGUUAGGAACUGGCAGUCGACAUGGUUCUACUGCCAGGACAUUGCCAGCCCGAAUGCCACGACAGGGUUGCCCCCUUUUAGCUUAGAUCGACCAGCUCCGCCUAAGCAGCUCGCGCUCACGAAGGCGGAGAAGGUCGAAAUCUAGCCUCUGGUCGACGCACUCGUAGAUGUCGUCAGGAAGGGAGUCACCGGUACAGACUUGGUCGAGGUUUUCCUCGGUCGGCGCAUCCAACCACUUCAGGCCCGACACCACGCCAUGUGGCACUACACGGGGCCCGAAGACUCCACUCGGACCAACGUCGUGUGCGUGACCGGGGAGAUGGUGGCGUCGUGGGUGCUCCAGAUCACAGGUGCCUGUGAGAACCCCAGAGGGUCCCGGCGAGUGAGGGCUUUCUGCGCGGACAAUCCUCCUUCGAACCAGGUGAGUACAACUUGUCGAGUGCACAUAACUGUCUUAGUUUUAUCUCUUUCUUGAAUCUCUGUCUGGCGUCUGAUGUCGUCGACUGUAUUUUAUGCAGGUGGACCAACUGGUUCUCCCCUGUCUCGAACGGGAACCCGGCCGGGGAGGAGGAAGAGGACAGCCAGGAGGGCAGCGUGGAGAGUGUCGAGUACGUCUCCGACGGUGGGGAGAUGGAGGAGGAGUCUGGUGAGGAGGAGGAGGAAGACGAAGAGCAGGACUCGCCACCCUCGUCGCCAGAGCAUCGAACCAAGCGCCGACAUGAACCUGCAGCUCCCUCAGCCCCUCCAGCAUCCUCAAGUGCUCCGCCAACUGCUCCUACGGUUCCGAGUGCCCCGUCAACUGUCCCCAGGGUUCCGAGUGCUCGGAGCACCAAGAGGACCAGGGACGCUGCUGCUGAGCCUGCGGGUCAGCCUUCCAAGGUGGCCAAACCAAGCGGAUCUAAACCUCGGAAGGCUUUGCCGCGGAUGAGGGUCGCCGUUCCCGUCACCUCAACGUAAGUGCCUUGUUCUUCUAACUUCUUCUGAUAUUCGAUUGGACUCCUGUUUAUUGUUCGAAUGAAUUUCACUCGACAGAGUUUCUACCUCUGCCACCUCUCCGGCACGCCAGGGGGAUGAUCCCAUGGACGUGGACAAUGUCGUCUCGUCCCAGCCAGGUGCGUCGUAGCGAUUCCGAGAGUUUACAUUAUCGCAUCACGAAUUCUGUCUUCGGUCUUGCCCUUUUUCUUUCUGUGGUCUCACGCCAUUCGGUCGGGUUUCUCUCAGGGGCGAUUUAUGUGGAUGAGGGUGACCAGGGAAGGUCUGAGCAAGCUGCGGUGCCUGUCCUUGAGGCUGUUCCGCCAGUUACUGUUCUCACCGCGGACAUGCCGCCGACUGAGGCGAUGUCGUUGACUGAAACGGCGCUGGUUGCUGCCGAAUCGACUGGAGCGGGCCUUUGGAUGCCUAAGGAGCCUCCAAUGAUGCCAGGCCCGUAGAACGUCGAGUACAACGUCCAGCGCCUCCUAGAAGACCAGGUGGGAGCGGCCAAGGGGGCCAUGGUACAGGCGGAGCUAAUGGCGGGAGAAGCCAAGAAGGCGUACGACUCCAUCGCGUCCCUGUACCAGCGAAGCUUGGAACUGCGGGACGAUAUUCGAGUAAGUGGGCUAGUAAGUAUUUACUUUUCUCUUGUAACCCACUGGGUGUGCUCGGAUAUCGUAUGAUUUUUGCAAUGGGUUCACUCUUAGUGAACCCAGUGGGUGUAGUCCCCGAGACUUCUGUCGAGUGCUUGCACCGGCAGUUGUCUUUAUACACACUGUCUGUGACUUGAUCAGAUCACAAAUUAAUCUGUUGGAAUGUUAACAGUUGGUGCACUCGGAGUGCACCUAUUGGAUGAGUCUCCGAGAGUAAUUUUACUCAGGUCGGGUAGUAGUAGCCUCAUAGGCUUAGGUGUUAUCAUGUAUCUCAAUAGGGCGGACCUGUUUGAGUUUCAUGCCAGUGGAGUCACUCUCAGUGAACCCACUGGGUGUAGUCCCCGAGACCGCUGUUGACUGCUUGCGUCGUCAGGGGUCUGAAGAACUUAGACUUUUUAUUGUUGGAUUUGUCUGAUCGUCUCCUGGCGCUGGCUGGCAGAAAACUUGCGAGAUGGGGACGGCGUACGAGACUCUCAGGGCUGAAAAGGUUCAGUUUGCCGGUGAGCUAGAUGCGGCACUGGUUGCAAUGGCUGGUAUGAAGGAUGUUCUGGCGGAACGAGAGAAGUCCUUGGAGCAGGCCCGUGAAGCAAAAAAGGCAUUGACUGCUGAAGUGGAGAAAAUGAAGGCGCAUAGGUCCGAGCUGAUGGGGCAAAUGAAUGUGCUGAACAAGCGGUGUAUAGCACAGGAAAAUACGUCAGUGACUCGGCCCGGCAGAUGAUAACGCGUCUGGGUGGUAAGUCUUGUUUUUUCGAGUGCUUGUGGUAUGUGCAUUUCACUCGGCGCUUAUUGUUUGCUCGUCCUGUGUUUGUAGAUUUUUGCAUAGAUGUUGAGGCUGAAGCAGCUGACGUGGAGCGGUCGAUUCGUGAGAACAUUCCACUCGGCGAGGACGCCAAUCGAGAUCUGCUCCGAGCGCACAUUCGCGUGGGCAAAGUUGGGCCUUUCAUCGGUCGACUGAGAGAAGUCGUCGGCCGGAUCGACAAGGAGCUUUGGCCUGAGGACAAGUCUCGGCAUGAGAUGGAAGGCUUGAUGACUCGGCUGGAGGAGUGCAGUCAUGGAAGAAGUAUGCGUCUCGCUGUGGUGCGGACGUUGCUUUGUCUCUUGUCCGAGUGCAUUGCAAGGAGGUGCGCGAAGAGAAGCUGAAAGCGUUGCAGGUCGCCAACACGAAGAAACUUCGGUUCGAAGACUUCAUGGAAACCUUCCUUGAGAGCGCCACCCGCAUCGCCGACGGGAUCGAUCUGGACACAUUCGUAGAGCCCGCCAGUCCUAGCGCCAGUCCGGACGACGCUUAAGAAAACUUUUUACCUCGGUAUGCCGAGUGUUGGUUGUAAGAAACUUUGGCCACUGCUGUUGGCCGUCACAUUCUUGGCUCGGUGCGGGUAAGCUUGAUCCACACCGAGCCAACUAUCUUUAGGCGAACUUUGAAUUUGAAUCAAAUCUUUUGCUCUUCUGUUGCCAAAGAGUUGUUGAUACGAUUUUGGCUCGAGUUUUUGUUUGGCAUUUCUUGGUGAAGCCAAUGGCAAACAUGCGGAGCAUGUAAUUGUCAGUUGUCUUGACAUCUGCAUGAGCCUCCCUGAGGGUCUGCUGAUUCUCCGAGUGGAUCUGUAGGAUACACUCGAAGGCAAUAGAGUACUUAGGCGAUUCAUGAUCGCGGCUAAGUCUUCGAGUGCGAAUGUGAGGGCGCACUCGGAUUGAUUUGUUACUCAUGUAAUUGUCAGUGGUCUUGACAUCCACAUGAGCCUCAAUGAGGGUCUGCUACUCAUGUAAUUGUCAGUGGUCUUGACAUCCACAUGAGCCUCAAUGAGGGUCUACUGAGUCCCCGAGUGUAUCUGUAGGAUACAGUCGCAGGAAGCUUUCUCAUUGAAGCGAUUCUUUAUCGCAGUGAAGUCUUCGAGUGUGACGAGUAGUGCACGCUCGGAGAAAAUUUGUACUGAGGCGAUUCUUGAUCACAGCUCAGUCUCCGAGUGCGACGUUUAGUGAACACUCGGAGAAAGUUAUUACUUAGGCGAUUCUUGAUCGCAGCUAAGUCUCCGAGUGCGACGUGAAGUGCACACUCGGAGGAAGUCAGUACUUAGGCGAUUCUGGAUCGCAGCUAAGUUUUUUUUUUGAGACCGGAGUCUGCGACCGCGGAAGAAUUUUGAAUCUGCAAAAGCUCAAUCUGCUUUAUAUUAUUUUACCAAUAGUUGUUCUUUACAUUGCUUCAGUCGACGGUCACGUGUAGAAGCGCUUCAGUAGAUCUCCGUUCCAUGCUCGCGGUUCGUCUGUCUCCCUAUCGAUGUUGUAGAGUCUGUAUGCUCUGUUGUACAGCACCUUGGAGAUGAUGAAGGGUCCUUCCCAGGCAGGAGCCAACUUGUGAGGUCUUUGCCGAUCCACUCGGAGCACCAGGUCGCCUGCUUGGAAUGUGCGACUCCUGGCGUGUUGUGCGUGAAAACGCCGCAGAUCUUGUUGAUAAAUGGUUGAGCGAGUUAGUGCCAUCUCGCGCUCCUCCUCUAGAAGGUCCACUCCGUCUUGUCUUGCUUGUUCUGCUUCAGCUUCAGAGAAGAGUUCGACUCGUGGAGCAUUGUGAAGCAAGUCACUCGGAAGGACUGCUUGUGCUCCGUAAACGAGGAAGAACGGUGAUCACCCUGUAGAUCUGUUCGGGGUUGUGUGAAGACCCCAAAGAACUGAAGGUAGCUCGGUGACCCAUGCGCCAGCGGCAUGUCCCACCUCUCGCAGGAGUCGGGGCUUCAAACCUUGCAGAAUAAGUCCAUUCGCCCGCUCUGCUUGUCCGUUUGAUUGAGGAUGCACCACGGAUGCAAAAUCCACUCGGAUACCUUGGCUUGCACAGAAACCUUUGAAUCUGUCCGAGUCAAAGUUUGUCCCGUUGUCCGUGAUUAUGCUGUGAGGUACACCGAAUCUGGAGAUGAUGUCCCUGACAAACUUGAUGGUUGUUAGGGCGUCGAGCUUCUUGAUGGGCUCGGCUUCAAUCCAUUUUGUGAACUUGUCGACUGCCACCAACAGAUGUGUGUAUCCUCCUUGGCCUGUCCUGAAUGGACCGACUGUAUCUAAUCCCCAUACUGCAAACGGCCACACAAGAGGGAUUGUCUUCAACGCAGAUGUUGGCUUGUGGGACUUGUUGGAGUAGAACUAACAGCCUUCACAUUGGUCGACCAUAUCUUUAGCCAUUUCGUUUGCGUGCAGCCAGAAGAAACCAGCUCUGAAUGCUUUGGCGACGAUUGCUCUCGAAGAGGCGUGAUGACCGCAGGUUCCCGAGUGAAUUCUUCCAGGAUUAACUGUCCCUCCUCUGGGGAGAUGCAUCGUUGAAGAACGCAUGAAACGCUUUCCUCGUACAACUGGCCAUCAAUGACAGUGAACGACUUCGACCUGCGGACUAUCUGCCUGGCCUGGACUUCGUCUUCUGGUAAUUCCUGCCUCAGGAUAUAUGCAAUGAUCGGCACAGUCCAAUCGGGGAUGACAGCAAGAAUCUCCAUGAUCAGAUCAACAACAGUAGGUACAUCGACUUCAGUUGGAUCUGUCAAACUCUUUGGUUGUAUUGGUUCCUCUGUGAAAGGAUCUUCUUUGACUGAGGGAAGGUGGAGGUGCUCGAGGCAGACGUCACUCGGGACUGGUCUCCGAGUGGAUCCGAGUUUUGCCAACUCAUCAGCUGCUUGGUUCUUCAGUCGCGGAACAUGGUGGAGUUCUAGACCUUCAAACUUCUUCUCGAGCUUCCUCACUGCAUUGCAGUAUGUGGUCAUGGUGGGGUUCCUGACGUCCCACUCUUUCAUCACUUGAUUAACCACCAAAUCCGAAUCGCCAUAGACCAUCAGGCGACGGACGCCGAGUGCGAUGGCCAUGCACAGUCCAUAAAGGAGAGCUUCAUACUCUGCCUCAUUGUUGGAGGAAUCAAAGUGUAUCUGCAGCACAUAUUUGAGUUUGUCGCCCUUUGGCGAUACGAUCACAACGCCAGCGCCGGAGCCAUUCAACAUCUUGGACCCAUCGAAGAACAUUGUCCAAUGAGCCGAGUAGAUGUGGGUCGGUUGCUGUUGUUCUACCCAUUCUGCUAUGAAGUCAGCCAGGGCUUGAGACUUUAUAGCUUUCUUGGCUUCGAACUUGAUAUCGCAGUACAACAUCUCCAUUGCCCACUUCGCCACUCGGCCCGACGCGUCGCGAUUGUGGAGGAUUCCCGCCAACGGAGCAUCAGAAACGACAAACACCGAGUGGUCUUGGAAAUAAUGGGCCACCUUCUUCGCAAUCAUGUAAAUCCCGUAGAUAAGUUUUUGAUAGUGGGGAUACCUCUGCUUGGAAGGAGUCAGGACUUCGGAGACGUAAUACACUGGCUGCUGAACUUUGUAUGCUUUGCCUUCUUCUUCUCGUUCGACUGUAAGAACAGUGCUGACGACUUGAUUUGUAGCCGCGAUAUACAGAAGAAGGGGCUCUUUACUGAGCGGAGCAGUAAGAACCGGCUGGGUGGAAAGUAGGACUUUGAGGUCGUCGAAUGCGACUUGGGCUUCAUCUUUCCACUCGAAAGUAUCUGAUUUCUUCAUGAGUCGGUACAGAGGAAGUGCUUUCUCGCCGAGUCGACUGAUAAACCUGCUCAAACCGCUAGGCAACCUGUGAGUCGUUGAACAUCGUGUAUUCUGACCGGCCUCUCCAUGCGGACGAUGGUCCCGAUCUUUUCGGGGUUGACAUCGAUCCCUCGUUCGGAAACGAAGAAACCGAGUAACUUUCCGCUGGGAACGCCGAAUGAACACUUGGCGGGGUUGAGCUUGAUAUCGUACCUACGAAGGUUGGCGAAUGUUUCUGCCAAGUCGGUCAGCAGGUUGGAACCUUUGCGUGACUUGACUACGAUAUCAUCCAUAUAAGCCUCCAGAUUCCGACCGAUCUGGUCGAGGAGGCAUUUUUGGAUCAUGCGCAUAAAGGUAGCUCAUGCAUUCUUCAAACCGAAUGGCAUAGUGAUGUAGCAGAAGCACCCGAAUGGGGUGAUGAAGGCUGUUUUUAAUUCAUCGGGGCCAUACAGACGGAUCUGAUGAUAGCCCGAGUAGGCAUCAAGAAAUGACAAACGCUCGCAACCCGCAGUCGAAUCGACAAUUUGAUCGAUGCGGGGGAGCGGAAAAUGGUCUUUCGGGCAGACCUUAUUGAGAUGCUUGAAGUCGAUGCACAUUCUGAACGACUUGUCCUUCUUGGGCACCAUGACAACAUUGGCGAGCCACUCGGAGUGGUGAACCUCGCGAAUGAAGUUGGCUGCCAAAAGCUUGGCCACCUCUUCUGUGAUUCCCUUCCUCUUGUGCGCGGCGGACCGACGCAGGCGUUCUCGGACAGGCCGAGCGGUGGGAUCCACAUGCAGUCCGUGCUCAGCCAACUCCCUGGGUACACCUGGCAUGCCAGAGGGUUUCCAUGCAAAGAUGUCCCAGUUCUCACGGAGGAAUUGGGUGAGCUCGGCUUCCUAUUUAGGAUCGAGGGUGGUGGAGAUGUUCGUCGGGGCAGCAGUGUCGUCCGUCGGGUGGAUGCUGACCUUUUUCGUCUCUCCCGCCGACUGGAAUGCAGACUCCGGAGCUGGCUUCUUCGAAUGCAUCAAGUCAGCGGGGUCGACUGUUUUCUUGUACUCGUCAAGCUCGAGGACGGCCAUCUGCUGGUCGGCGAUUCUUGAUCCCUGCUGCAAACACUCUUCGGCCCGCUGUCGAUUGCCUGUGAUAGUGAUCACACCUUUCGGGCCUGGCAUCUUCAGCUUCAGGUAUACGUAACAUGGACGGGCCAUGAAACGCGCAUACGCCGGGCGGCCCAGAAUUGUGUGGUAAGCGCUCUGGAAGUCCACCACCUCGAACGUCAGCUUUUCCUUGCGGAAGUUCUUGUUGGAGCCGAAAACGACGUCCAACGCGAUCUGGCCGAGUGACUUGGCCUUCCAUCCAGGGACGACUCCAUGGAACUGCAUGCUUCUCUCACUGAGUUUGGACAUCGGAAUGCCCAUCCCCUUGAGAGUGUCGGCGUACAUGAUGUUCAAGCCACUGACACCGUCCAUGAGGACUUUGCGCAGUCAAACUCCUUCCACCACCGGGUCGACGACCAGAGCCUGUCUCCCUGGGGUGGGUACGUGUGCCGGAUGAUCCGACUGGUCAAAGGUGAUCGCAGUCUGAGACCAUUUGAGGAACUUGGGUUGGUAGGGGUGGCCAUGUUCACCUCCCUGUUCACCAGCUUCAGUCGACUCUUGCUCUCAACGUCAGCAAAAGUCAUCAGUGUUGCAUGGACUUGGGGGAACGGACCCUCCUUAUCCUCCUCGUCCUGUUCAUUGUCCUUUUCACUCGGUUGCCCUUCGCCGAACCCCUGGAUCAGGAGGCGACACUGUCGAGUGGUAUGCUUCGGAUAUAUGGGGUUGCCCUCUUCAUCCAUCUUCGUAUGAAUCGGACACGGCUGGUCCAGGAUGGGAUUAUUGAACUGCUUCUUCUUGGGGGUGAACUGAGCCUUCCCUUUGCCCUUGAACUUGGCGUUGCUUACAGCUGCAGCCUCUGCCUGCGGAGUGGACGGAGCUUUCUGCUUCUGCUUCCGAGUGUUGCUCCCAUCUCCAUCGGCGACUGUUUUGUGCUUGCCGCUUCGGAUGCGGUCCUCUUCUUCGCCAUUUGCAUAGCGUGCCGCUAUCUCCAUCAUCUUGCUCAUGGAGAUGUCGCCUGUUCGGCCAAACUUCAGGUACAGAUCCCUGUACCGCACGCCUACCUUGAAAGUGCAGAUUGCUUGAUGCUCUGUGACGUUCUCCACCGUGUGGUAGAGGGUUGUCCAACGCUGAAUGAAAUCACGCAGGGGCUCAUUCUCCUUCUGGACGCAAUGCUGGAGCUCCACGAGGCCAGCAGGGCGCUUGCACGUCCCUUCGAAGGUCCUGAUGAACACUCGGGCCAGGUCUGCCUAGCUGUAGAUGCUUGAGGGGGCCAACUGGUUCAGCCACGCUCGCGCCGAGCCGUCGAGCAUCAGAGGGAGGUGCUUCAUGGCGACAUGGUCGUCCCCUCCUCCGAUCUGGACUGCCACUCGGUAAUCAUCCAGCCACGUUUCUGGCUUGGACUCUCCUGUAAACUUGCUGAUUCCCGUUGCCAGUCGGAAGUUGGGAGGGAUGUCAGCCGAACGGAUGGCUCGACUGAAACACUCGGGACCAGAAACGAUGGUCCUGCUUCCACUCGGACGGUCAAUAUCGUAACCAUCGCGGUGGGCUCGGCCCCUGUCGACCCUCCGCUGGGCGAUAUGCCCUCUUGCGUCGGGUCUUGGGUCGUAAGUGUCACCGACUGAACGCCGAUCAUCAUGAUGUCGGGGCCCGUACGGCCCACCCCGCGGAGGGGUGCGUGAACGGCGACGAUCUUCGGGGUUUAUGGAACGGCUGUCUCCCCUGUGUCGCCGAUGAGAACCAGGGCUGUGAACUGACCGAUGCGUAUUCGCAUGAACAGAACUAUUGUGGAUCCUGUUGUGCGACUGAGAGACCGCCGAAUUUUGCUGUUGCGUCGUGUGCAACAGGGCACGGAUUUGCUCGAUCCCCCUGCCAGCCUCUGAAUCAGUCGGCUGAAGGGAAUUGGCAAUCUUGGCAGCCGCAGCCAAGUUGAGGAUGGGUGUGCGGAACGACUCCACAUUGCUCCGCCGAGUGUGCCGGCUGGCAGAACGGCGAGGCGGACGACGCGCGCCGGAUGUUUCGCCGAUCUCGUGCUCGUUCCGGCCAGCUUGACGGGGAUCUUCAUGGGAGUUGGCCAUGUGUACUUCUGCUGCAGGCCCGCGACCCGCGUACUCGGAAGGAAACUCAGUCGGAACCGAGUCCGAGCGCUGGGACGGAGGGGCAACCACAACCGACUCUAGGACCGCCACUUGUGAAGACGCGUUCUGGCGUGCCUGGGCGUGUCGCACCCAACGCUGGAGCCGCGGACGGCGGGACCGCUUGUUGCGGCGCGUGACGGCGGUGUAGGUCGACACCGGAGCCGACUGUUGGAGAAGAAGAAGAACGCCGCAGGCGCCGGCACGGAAGUGCGUAGCCCCGUGGCGGGAAAGCGCCUCGAUAUCGAGAGGAGCAUCCCGAAGCCAUGCUGAAUCGUCGAUGAUGAAGGAGAGAGCGCCGAAGAGGAUCUCGUGACCCAUGCUCGAAUCUCCACCGGACGACAUGACGAAACGAUGUAGUCGCAAACUCGCCGGAAGUCGCGUAGACGCCUGCCCCACGGUGGGCGCCAACUGUCGUGGGUAUAAGCCUGACAGUAUAUGUGUAGGGUACGAAAGGAUGGGCAGAGCCUUAGCUACGGCGAGGUUGUAUGAGUUCAGGCCCCUCUGCGGUGGAGGUAAUAGCCCUAUGUCUCAGUGCUCUGGGAGCUUGUUGUCGAGUGGAAUAUAGAAUACAGUGAAUUGCUAACCCCUGCACCAGUGGGGGAGGGUGGCUUAUAUAGAGUGCGCUGCCCUCCACAACGGUUCGGUGCACAGGGGUGGAGUAGUGGCGAAUAAAUGCCUACGUUACAGGUAACGUACGUCUUAAAUGCUAAUAAAGGCACGGGGAAACGUAUGACCGUUUCCCUCCAGGGGGGUUACGAUGCUCGGAGUGGAGUCCAGUCGGUUAGUUUGAUACGCUCCGAAUGCUAGUCUCCGACUGGAUGGUCGAAGACCUGUUACCGACUGGAUGAUGGCAACUCCUUAGUUCAGUCGGAACUGACUAAGGGCCUUGUCCCUUAUGAGGGGUAGUCCUUGGGUAGGACCUAUAGGGCAGGCCUAUGACCCUACCCUAGGACUAUAACCCCAUCAAAGAGAAAGUAAGGUACAGUGCUUUGGCAUUCUCUCUGUUCACAACGCUGAUCCCUCGAUCGUCUGAUCGAACGGGCUCAUAAACAUACAAUUAGUCUCCACUGAAUAUCCUGGUUUCAUGUUGUAUCGACGUGCUUGAUUAGGAACCUUAAUUAUUAGGCUAGACUAGUGCUACGUGUAUUUCUUAGUCAGUCAGUGACCUGAUUAAUCUAAACAUUUGGUGCAUGCAUAUGGUUGGCCAAAACCUAGGACUCUGAACGUCAGAGUACACACUACACGACUAGGACAUGUGGUUUACUUAGUAGACCAGUACUGCAUGCAUCAUUAUCUUUUGCUGUUUAAUUUGGCAGAAAUCACAGAAGCUUAUUUCAAUGGCGCAUGCAAAAAUCCAACGAAACGAUUGAAAACUUGAGUUGCGAGCUGAACGCUCAAUAAUAGAACGAUUUUCCUAUACGCUGCAACUAGCUUGGCUUAUUUCUAAAAAACAUUAUGUUCAUAUUCAGCCCCCAUUGAAAAUUGCCACUGUCCUAUAUUGUUGUCCAUGUAUUACAAUAUAACCGAUUAUUAGCUCAGAGUAGGCAGACCAAAUGGUUAUUAGCUCGAGGCACAAGCAAUCAUUCAGUAUGACAACCUAUCACAUGGUGUCAUCAUACUCUUGGCCGAUGACAAGAAGCAGGUCGAGGACCAGGACCAUCUUACCUUAAAGGAGCAGAGCAGGUCGAGAACGAAGAGGAGCAUCGACACUCUUCGUCGCUGAGGCUAAGCAAGCCCUUUCAUCUCUCCUCCUCGAGAAGGACAAGGCUACCAUAGUCGUUAUAAUACAUGGCUGCAAAGAAGAAGCAGAGUCAAAAUAAAAUGUUAUGACAAAUGAUAAAGAGGUAUUAAUUAAGUACAAACAAUAAAAACUCACAUGUCACAACAAUCAUACUACAAUCACACCUCAAAACUCACAAUAUUGUGAGUGGCCUAUUCUUCCCAGAUCCUGGCUUGUUUGCUGCAAGCACCUCUCCACCAACAUAUAACAACAGAGUUAAUAAAACUAUGUGUGAAGGAAUAAAGUCAAACAUUUUGAACGGAAGGUGUCAAGCAACUGCGGAUGCAUUAGUUACCUCGCGCAUUUUCUGCACUUCAUCAGGAAUACUGCAGUUUGCGGCAGAUUUGUCGAACAUUUCAAGUAUCCUGAAGGCUCGAUUCCUCGCAUCGUUCAUAUCUGAAGCAGACAAUAUCUCCUUGACAAUUAGCUCCGCCCAUUCAGUGUUGUUGGUUGGAGCAUUCAUCACCGGAACAUCACAUGCCACUGCGAUUAACAAUCAUUCUAGUGUUAGACAAUAUGCACACUGUAAGAUUCUUGUUUUGAGAAACUGCAUAUUGUAAGAUUAGUGUUGGUCUACAUAAGUUAUACAUCUUCGGACAUCAUUAUCAGAUAACAAGAGGAACAAGUAGUCAGGCUUAUUUUUCAGUCAUGCCAGCCAUACCUCCAGACGAGGAGGUACCAGCAUUGGUCGUUGCUGAAUCCGAUGCCAAAUAACCCUUGAAGCUUCUGAUGGCAGCAUCCAAGACAUUUCCCGACGCUUCGAGAUAGCCUCACAGAAGCUAAAAAUGCCCCCAAAAUUACUCAUCAGAAUGGUACGGAGCAAUACGGUACACAAGGAUCAGGGCCCUCAAGUCUACUGUUGUGACAUAACAUAAACCAAAGCUAUAUCAGGAUUUCAGAAAACCAUGGUAGAACUUCUGUGCACAAGAGAAACGGAUGUACGUACAUGCUAUUUGUUCUGACAUGUUUAGUUGAGACAUUUUAUUUCUGAAAUCCUAAAUUUAGCCAUCAUACACGCAUAGACAGGAAUCAUCCUCAUGGGAAGCGUUUGGCUCGCGCAAGAGGGGAAUAGUUGUGGACGAUUCUUCUGAACUUUUGAUUUACAAUUCCAUUAAUCUCUAAACUCUAGUCUAGUCUAAUUCAAGAAAUGGGAUAUGAAUCGGCAAAAGAAAAGAAAAAGGAAAUUCCCUGAUUUGUUGAAUUGUAAACCUUUUCAGCGAGUGAUGAUGAUAAACAAAACCAUUUUGCUGAAUCGUAAAAACAGGCAGUGAUGCUUAUCAGGUUGGUAACUUCCCACUGAUGAUGAUAAUAAGAUGGUAACAGUAAUUAGACACUGCAUCACAGCACAAACGAGGAAUCUUACUACCACAUAUCACAGGCUAAUUAUAAGAAACUAGCACAUCUCUACACCUUCAGAUCAAAAACUAGGAAUAGCCCCCCUAUCACCACGGAUGGCACAAAGGUGUGUCCCUGAAGAGGCCGACGAGGCAGGCCCCGGCGCCCUCCUGUAGCACGAAGACGGCAGAGCUCUGAAUAAUGCGGUUUUCACAGCAAAGUUGUGCAUUAAUUAAAGAGAAUAGAAUCAUAUAACCUUGGAACAAUAAGAAACGCAACGGCGGCAGUUGAGUUGAUGUUUGCUAGGUAUACUUCAGGAGUCAUCACUCAUCAACCAUAUCAUGGAGGGCUGAUUUGAAUGGUUAGUAGAGUAGUUUAGUCAAAACAAAAUUUCUGGAUGCACUCUCAUUAGAAAUGCAACAACCAAGUUACUCAACAAAAAGGAAUGAAUACUAAACUUCUGAUAAUUUCGACAAAUGCAAUGGUUCAGAAUAAGAGUAAGACAUACUGUGGGGCUCUAUGUCAAGAAGCCAGUGACCUACAGAUUUCAGAAACUUCCAUUGUUGCACUACCUAGCAAACAUCACGGAGGCAAGCCUACUAAUCAUGAGGUGGACCAAACUGAAAACUGAAAAUCCUAUCAAGUGCAUGGAUCACGCUAAGAAACUGUUGGUAGAUUUUUCAGAUUUACAAACACGUAGCUAAACAAGGGUAACAUCAUGGAGCACAAAAUUAAGAUCAGAUAUCAAACUUUCACAUGACUGAUGGUAACAAGACGGUAAUAAGGUCUCCCACACCAAACAUCCUUGAUAAACAGGAACAUCAACAAGCCCCAAACUGAAACUACUUCCAAAAGAAAUACCCAUCUAAUUCAGAUUCCUUAAAGGGAGGAACACCAGAACAUCAGUCGAUUUAGAGACGGCUCAGCUUAGAUCAUAUGUAGCACAAUAAUAUAUAUCUAAAAAAAGCGAGCAACCACAUUUUGUUUUCGUUCUAGAUUCAUUAGUACAGCCAACUACACCACAUAGCACGUAGCACUGUAGGAACCACAAGUCUGACCAAACUGAAUAUGAAUAGAAGGGCAUGGCAGGCAGCAGAUAAAUCUGAAACCACAUGUGUGCAUGAUAAAGUAAAAGACUGAUGAAAAGGAUUGCAUGCAUGAUUAACUAAACCACAAGUCACUGCAGGUCGUUGGCCCGGCAUGAGGUUCGGCGUUCGACUUUCCUGACAGAGAGCUGCUAUUGUACCCAUGGACAUGGAAUACUCCUCGUGCUGCUAAAUAACAAGAAGGUCUCAUCGCGUCCUGAAGCAGCACAUCACAACGAGUGUGGGGGAGGAAGGUCCAUGGCAUCCUCCUCCGAGGGCGACCUUGAUCUGUUGGAUUUGGGAGGGAGAGGAGAGGUGAGGAAGAACCUACUACAGAGAGAGGGGGAGGGAGGGAUGAUGGUGGUCAUACGAGAUCAGGUGUCAUCAUGUAUGGGCUCCUCCUAUGCUGCGUGCAAGGUCGACAUGGCACCGGGCUUGUCCUCCAUGGCGUCCUCCUUGACCACACGGGACAGGAUGCAAACAAGCAAACAAACAAAAAUGCACAAAACAAUCAGAUUUGAUCCAAAGUAGAAGCAAUCGAGGAGGACGAGCAAGGGAUGAUCCAUAACAGAUCGAUUCUGGUCGCCAUGGCUGGGAUCCUCCUACGCUUGUGCGGGCUAGGGUUUCAGUAUGUGCUGCUGGAAAGAAGGAUAGGGUGGGUCUUGGGGAGAGCAGGUCGGCACCGAUGCCGUGGCCGGCGGGAGGGAUGGGGGAGAGGAGAUCUACGACAGGGUUGGGUUGGGUUGCGGGAGGGGUGGGGGAGAGGAGAUCGGCGGCGGGGUUGGGUUGGGUUGCGGGAGGGAGGUGGAAGACACACAGGAGAGAGACUCGAGUUGGUAGGAGAGGGAGGAGGGUGUGUCAUGCGCUAGGUUUAUCGAGGAGAGGUGAUGAGACGUUGGAUCUGUAGGACAUGGACGGCUCAGAUCGCCUUUACUAGGGUGAUCUGUGGGCUCUAUUCUGAUUGGUUAGACAUGUGCCUUUAUAAACUUGUUUUUUAAGUGUUAAAAACAGAGGAGAUAUAUGAAGCAACUAUCAAAAACAUUUUGCAAAACGGCACCAUUAAUUUUUAGGUGCAUCUUGGAAUGGAAAACAAUGUUGCCUAAGAACGUUUUCAUUUUCAUUGGACGAAAAAGUCAUUUUCCAAUUUUUGACUGUCCAGAAUAAGUUUUUUUGUGAAGGGCCUAUCAUAUAUUUGUUGCAAAAUUGGAUCAAAUCAUUUUUAUAAAAUACUAGGUCAUAUUUAAUGCACAAUUGACCAAAUGAUUGGGUGUCAAAAGCUUUUAUCCACCUCUCGUGAAAAAGACAAAUUUCCGCCGAUUUAACUUGAAGCGAGUCAAAUUUGAACCGCAACUGUCUUAUAGUUUACUCUUUAUUUUUUCCAAAAAUAUUCUCUAGGUACAAAAGUAUCUAUUUAAUCAGAUAAACACCAAAAAAAUUCCAAGAUUCAACCACUAGAUAGGAACGGUCAUACCCGCUGUUUUGACCGUAUUUUGAAACACGCAUGAAAAAUUCAAAACCAAAUCAAAAAAUUGAAAAACCUUCGCAUUGUGCCAUUAAAUAUAACCAAGUUAUGAGGAAAAAUAAUAAACUUGUAAUACGAUAAUUAUUUAAAAAAAUGUUCUGAGAAAUGAGCUAUCAUGUGUGAAGACCACAAACCAGCCCAUUAGCAAGCAUGGAGGAUAAAAUACCAACCCAAUAUAAAAGUAAGAUGAAAAAAUAGCCCAACAGAAAGUGGUAUAAAAAACAGUUCAAUACAUGGAUGAGGUGGGAUAGAAUGAACCCACGAGUGACAUAUCAACAUAGUUAAAACAUGUAACGACAUUUUUAUAAUCGUCAUAAAAGUUAUGAUGAUCUCAUCUUAUGCGGUUACGACGUUUUUGACUCACAUCGUUGUAAUUUGUAUGUAGAUUUGAUCCCCUCAAAAGGUUUACGGCGAUCUCGGAUGAAAUCGUCAUAGAUAUAUGACGAAUUCAUCAACGACAUCUUAAAAAACGUCAUGUAUGAGCAUAUUUCUUGUAGAGGGAGGCAGCCCCACGCCUUAGGGUUUUAGCCCUAGGCGCAUUGGGCCCUUUUGGUGGCUCGCACCAGCCAACGAAGGAGCUGGUUCCCUCCCACUUUCGUCCCAUGUGGUCCUCCCGGGACAGGUGGACCCUCCGGUGGACCCCUGGUACCCUUUCGGUGGUCCCGGUACAAUACCGAUAAACCUCGAAACCUUUCCGGUGACCAAAACUGGACUUCUCAUAUAUAAAUCUUUACCUCUGGACUAUUUUGGAACUCCUCGUGACGUCCGGGAUCUCAUACGGGACUCCAAAAAACUUUUCGUAACCACAUAUACAAUUCCCAUUACAACUCUAGCGCCACCGAACCUUAAGUGUGUAGACCCUAUGGGUUCGGGGUUUGUGAAGUUGGUACUCAACAUGUAACCCCUAUUCCCUAUGUUAGGUUGUUUGUUAGGCCAUUAGGUAAAGUGUCGGAUCAAUUUCCCCAUUGCUCACUCAUACGUCUCCAACGUAUCUAUAAUUUUUGAUGGUUUCAUGUUAUUAUAUUGUCAAACUUUGGAUGUUUUGCGUGCCUUUUAUUUAUUUUUUGGGACUAACUUAUUAACUCAGCGCCAAGUGCCAAUUCCUGCUUUUUUCCAUGUUUUUCACCCCUUUCAGAGGAGAUUUUGAAACGGAAGAAAAUCCCCGAAAAGAUUUUUUUUGGAACGGAAGAAGAUUAGAGAACUUGGGAGGCAAGGCAGGGGAGCCCCAGGGGCCCCACAAGCCCCCACCCCGCGGCCAGGGGUGGUGCGCCAUCCAGGCUUGUGGGCCCCCUGGAGGACUAUAUAAUCCCAAAAAUUCCAGAAAAAAUCAGGAGAUCAUCGAAAGUACUUUUCCGCCGCCGCAAGCUUCUGUCUCCGCAGGAUCCCAUCUGGGGCGCGUUCUGGUGCCCUGCCGGAGGGGGGAUUCGGACACGGAGGGCUUCUUCAUCAACACCAUGACAUCUCCGAUGAUGCGUGAGUAGUUCACCAUAGACCUACGGGUCCAUAGCUAGUAACUAGAUGGCUUCUUCUCUCUCUUGGAUCUUCAAUACAAAGUUCUCCAUGAUCUUCAUGGAGAUCUAUCCGAUGUAAUCUUAUUUUGCGGUGUGUUUGUCGAGAUCCGAUGAAUUGUGGAUUUAUGAUCAGAUUAUCUAUGAAUCUUAUUUGAGUUUCUUCUGAUCUCUCUUAUGCAUGAUUUCAUAUCCUUGUAAUUCUCUUCGAGUUGCGGGUUUUGUCUGGCCAACUAGAUCUAUGAUUCUUGCAAUGGGAGAAGUGCUUGGUUUUGGGUUCAUACCGUGCGGUGACCUCACCCAGUGAUAGAAGGGGUAGCGAGGCACGUAUCGUGUUGUUGCCAUCAAGGGUAAAAAGAUGGGGUUUUCAUCAUUGGUUUGAGAUUAUCCCUCUACAUCAUGUCAUCUUGCUUAANNNNNNNNNNNNNNNUCUCCGAUGAUGCGUGAGUAGUUCACCAUAGACCUACGGGUCCAUAGCUAGUAACUAGAUGGCUUCUUCUCUCUCUUGGAUCUUCAAUACAAAGUUCUCCAUGAUCUUCAUGGAGAUCUAUCCGAUGUAAUCUUCUUUUGCGGUGUGUUUGUUGAGAUCCGAUGAAUUGUGGAUUUAUGAUCAUAUUAUCUAUGAAUCUUAUUUGAGUUUCUUCUGAUCUCUCUUAUGCAUGAUUUCAUAUCCUUGUAAUUCUCUUCGAGUUGUGGGUUUUGUCUGGCCAACUAGAUCUAUGAUUCUUGCAAUGGGAGAAGUGCUUGGUUUUGGGUUCAUACCAUGUGGUGACCUCACCCAGUAACAGAAGGGGUAGCGAGGCANNNNNNNNNNNNNNNNNNNNNNNNNNNNNNNNNNNNNNNNNNNNNNNNNNNNNNNNNNNNNNNNNNNNNNNNNNNNNNNNNNNNNNNNNNNNNNNNNNNNNNNNNNNNNNNNNNNNNNNNNNNNNNNNNNNNNNNNNNNNNNNNNNNNNNNNNNNNNNNNNNNNNNNNNNNNNNNNNNNNNNNNNNNNNNNNNNNNNNNNNNNNNNNNNNNNNCUUACACUUUUUACUUCGUUGCACUUUCCGCCUUCAGAUCUCACUUUGCAAACAAUCUUGAAGGGAUUGACAACCCCUUUGAAGCGUUGGGUGCAAGCUUGUUUGUGUUUGCGCAGGUACUUUGGACUUGACGAGGCCCUCCUUCUGGUUCGAUACCUUGGUUCUCAAACUGAGGGAAAUACUUACUGCUCCUGUGCUGCAUCACCCUUUCCUCUUCAAGGGAAAAACCGACGCAAACCAGAGAAGUAACAAGAAGAAUUCCUACGCGCCAGGGAAGGACUUUUGUUGCCGCAGCAGAAGAAUUUCUGGCUCCGUUGCCGGGGAGGAAGGUCAAGUCAAGGACUCAUCCAAGUAGGUGUCGCAAACUCAUCUCUUGCAUUUACUUUGUUUGCCAGUUGCCUCUCAUUUUCCUCUCCCCCACUUCACCAAAUUGCCUUUUUCGUUUGCCUUUCCUUUCCUUGUGUGCUAUGUUCCUUCAAAAUGCUUGCAUCUUUGCUUGCUAAGAAUCUAGUGAUAUGGAUGCUCAUCCACUUGCUAAUCUUUUCAAGAGGUCCAACUAUGUUGAACAAAUUGCUAGUGAGUUUUGUGCACUAGAUUAUCUUUAUGGAGUUUUGCUUGACAUGCGUGAAUCUGAAAAUUGUGAUGAGGAAAUUUAUGAAGUGAUUCACGAGGGCUCCUUGGAUGAAAAGCAUGAUUACAAUGGUUUCACUAUAAAUUCUAUUAGUGACAAUCAUGCUAAAAAUAUGCAAAACCCUAAGCUUGGGGAUGCUAGUUUUGCUAUGUCCUCUAUUGGUUGCAAUGAUCAUGAUUGGGGUGAUGAUCUUUCUUAUGAUCUUGAAAAUUUGUUUAAGCCUCUUGAUGAAUAUGAUGUUUGCAAUAUUAUUGAAAGUGGGUUUGGAGACGUCAUGACUUUAGUUGAUGAUAAUCCCACUAUUUUUGAAGAGCGUCAACUUUGCAUGCAUGUGGAUCAUGAAAAGAAUAUCCUACAUGAUAGUUACAUUGUUGAAUUUGAUUAUGAUCCCACAUGUGUUUGCUAUGAGAGAGGAAAAUAUUUUGCUAGAAACUUUCAUGUUACCAAAUUACCUCUCGUUAUGUUGAGAUUGCUAUUGUCUCUUUCUUCUUCCUUGCAUUUGGUAACUAUUGGUUGUCUUGCCAAUUUGUUUUCCUAUAAAAUGCCUAUGCAUAGGAAGUAUGUUAUACUUAGAUGUGAUUUUCACAUGCUUUAUGAUGCUCUCGUUGUUCUUCAACUCUUGUCUUUUGUGUGAGCAUCAUUGAUGCCUAGCUAAGGGCGUUAAACAAUAGCGCUUGUUGGGAGGCAACCCAGUGAAUUUAUCUUUUUCUUUCUGUUUUGUUGCGUCCACACUUUCAUAAUUCUGUUGUGAUUGUGUUUUUUGUGUUUCUUUUUGUGUUUGAGCCAAGCAAAACCUUUAUGACUAGUCUCGAUAAUGGUUGUUUGAUCCUGCUGGAAAAAGACAGAAACUUUUCGCUCACGAGAUGAUUUUUCAUUUUUAUUCAGAAAUAGAUUUUGAGUUGAUUCUUUUUGCUGCGGAUAUAUAUGCUUUUUUCCCAGGCCGUCGUAAAUUUUUCAGAUUUUUUGAGGUACCAGAAGUAUAUGAAGUAUACAGAUUGCUACAGACUUGUCUGUUUUUGACAAAUUAUGUUUUUGUUGAGUUGGUUGCUUGUUUUGAUGAAACUAUGGUUAGUAUCGGGGGGUACUAGCCACGGAAAAGUGAGAAUACAGUAGCCCAUCAUCAAUAUAGAUGGAAUUCAAGUUUGCUACAGUACCAAAAGAAGUGGUAGUUUGUUUUCUUGUACUAAUGUUAUCACAAGUUUCUGUUUAAGUUUUGUGUUGUGAAGUUUUCAAGUUUUGGGUGAUGUUCUCAUGGACAAAGAGAUAAGGAGUGGAAAGAGCUCAAGCUUGGGGAUGCCCAAGUCAUCCCAAGCCAAAUUCAAGGACACCAAAAAGCCUAAGCUUGGGGAUGCCCCGGGAAGGCCUCCCCUCUUUCGUCUUCAAUCCAUCGGUAACAUUACUUGGAGCUAUAUUCUUAUUCACCACAUGAUAUGUGUUUUGCUUGGAGCGUCUUGUAUCAUAGGAGUCUUUUCUUUUUGUUGUGUCACAAUCAUCCUUGUUGCACACCUUCUUGAGAGAGAGAGACAUGCACUCAUCGUGAUCUUGCUAGAAUGCUCUAGUGCUUCACUUAUAUCUUUUGAGCUAGAUACUUUUGCUCUAGUGCUUCACUUAUAUCUCUUGAGCUAGAUACUUUUGCUCUAGUGCUUCACUUAUAUCUUUUGAGAUAGAUACUUUUGCUCUUGUGCUUCACUUAUAUCUUUAGAGCACGGCGGUGCGUGAUUUGGUAGUUGGCUUAUGCUAUGGAAGUAGUCCCAAUUGUGCUAGGUACCCAAAGAGGAUGCAAAACCCUCCAUCUUCAUGUGCAUUGGGUAGAAAGAGAAGUUUCGAUUCCUAUCAAUUAGUUUUGAGACAUGGAUUCGGUAAUAUUAAGAGUUAUGUUAGUAGGGUGUUGUGAAUCUAGAGAUACUUGUGUUCGAGUUAGUGAUUCCCGUAGCAUGCACGUAUGGUGAACCGCUAUGUUAGGAAGUCGGAGCAUAAUUGAUCUAUUGAUUGUCAUCCUUUGUGUUGAGGUCGGGAUCGCGCGAUGGUUUACACCUACCAACCCUUCCCCUCGGAGUAUGCGUUUAGCACUUUGUUUCGAUUACUAAUAAAAACUUUCGCAACAAGUAUGUGAGUUCUUCAUGACUAAUGUGAGUCCAUGGUAUAUAUGCACUUUCACCUUCCACCUUUGCUAGCCUCUCUAGUGCCGCACAAUUCUCGCCGGUGCACAAGCCCACCAAAUUCCUUCCUCAAAACAGCCACCAUAUCUACCUACUAUGGCAUUUUCAUAGCCAUUCCGAGAUAUAUUGCCAUGCAACUACCACCGUUUCGUCUCAUGACUUAUGCUGUCACUCUCAUAUUGCCAUUGCAUGAUCAUAAGAUAGCUAGCAAGAUGUUUCAACGUCAUACGCCAUGCUAGAUCGUUGCACAUCCCGGUACACUACCGGAGGCAUUUCCUAUAGAGUCAUCACCAUUUUGAGCUGUGAGUAAAUAAAGGUGUGAUGAUCAUCCUUAUUAGAGCAUUUUCCCAUGUGAGGAAAUAAAAAAAAAGAGCCCAAAGAGCCCAAAAACAAAAAAAGGGAGAAAAGAAGAGAAAAAAAAGGGAGGCCUAAGAGCCCAAAUGAAAAAAAGAGAAAAAAGAGAAAAAAGAGAGAAGGGACAAUGCUACUAUCUUUUUCCACACUUGUGCUUCAUGUUAGCACCAUGUUCUUCAUGAUUGAGAGCUUCUUGCUUUGUCACUACCAUAUGCUAGUGUGAAUCUUCAUUUUAUAACUUGGCUUGUAUGUUCCAAUGAUGGGCUUCCUCAAAAUUUCCCUAGGUCUUCGUGAGCAAGCAAGUUGGAUGCACACCCACUAGUUUUCCUUUUGAGCUUUCACAUACUUAUAGCUCUAGUGCAUCUAUUGUAUGGCAAUCCCUACUCAUUCACAUUGAUAUCUAUUAAUCGGCAUCUCCAUAGCCUAUUGAUAUGCCGAGUCAGUGUGACCAUCUCCUCCUUUUUUGUCUCACAACCACCACCACACUCUAUUCCACCUAUAGUGUUAUAUCCAUGGCUCGCGCUCAUGUAUUGCGUGAUAGUUAUAAAAAGAUUGAGAAAGUAAGAGUGCGAAAACAAUUACUUGGCCAAUUCCGAGGUUGUUCAUGAUUUACAUUAGUUGUGUGAGGAUGAUGGAGCAUAGCCAGACUAUAUGAUUUUGUAGGGAUAACUUUCUUUGGCCUUGUCAUUUUGAAAGUUCAUGAUUACUUUGCUAGUUUGCUUGAAGUAUUACUGUUUUCAUGUCAAUAACAAACUAUUGUUUUGAAUCGUACGGAUCUGAACAUUCAUGUCACGUGAAAGAAGUCGCAGAGGACAACUAUGCUAGGUAGCAUUCCACAUCAAAAAUUCAUUCUUUGUCACUUCCCUACUCGAGGACGAGCAGGAGUUAAGCUUGGGGAUGCUUGAUACGUCUCCAACGUAUCUAUAAUUUUUGAUGGUUUCAUGCUAUUAUCUUGUCAAACUUUGGAUGUUUUGCAUGCCUUUUAUUUAUUUUUUGGGACUAACUUAUUAACUAAGUGCCAAGUGCGAGUUCCAGUUUUUUCCAUGUUUUUGACCCCUUUCAGAGGAGAUUUUGAAACGGAGUCCAAACGAAGGAAAAUCCCCGAAAAGAUUUUUUUGGAAUGGAAGAAGAUCGGAGAACUUGGGAGGCAAGGCAGGGGAGCCCCAGGGGCCCCACAAGCCCCCACCCCGCGGCUAGGGGGCGCCAUCCAAGCUUGUGGGCCCCCUAGAGCUCCCCUGACCUAGGUCUUUCGCCUAUAUAAUCCCAAAAAUUCCAGAAAAAAUCAGGAGAUCAUCGAAAGUACUUUUCCGCCGCCGCAAGCUUCUGUCUCCGCAAGAUCCCAUCUGGGGCACGUUCUGGUGCCCUGUCGGAGAGGGGAUUCGGACACGGUGGGCUUCUUCAUCAACACCAUGACCUCUCCGAUGAUGCGUGAGNNNNNNNNNNNNNNNNNNNNNNNNNNNNNNNNNNNNNNNNNNNNNNNNNNNNNNNNNNNNNNNNNNNNNNNNNNNNNNNNNNNNNNNNNNNNNNNNNNNNNNNNNNNNNNNNNNNNNNNNNNNNNNNNNNNNNNNNNNNNNNNNNNNNNNNNNNNNNNNNNNNNNNNNNNNNNNNNNNNNNNNNNNNNNNNNNNNNNNNNNNNNNNNNNNNNNNNNNNNNNNNNNNNNNNNNNNNNNNNNNNNNNNNNNNNNNNNNNNNNNNNNNNNNNNNNNNNNNNNNNNNNNNNNNNNNNNNNNNNNNNNNNNNNNNNNNNNNNNNNNNNNNNNNNNAACCAGAGAAGUAACAAGUAGAAUUCCUACGCGUCAGGGAAGGACUUUUGUUGCCGCGGCACUCACCACACCAUCGAUUUUGCCUAGGUAAUUAUGAAAGAAGAGAAGAAGAUGGUAGUUUUGCCUAUGGUUCAGGCAUGGCUCAUGUUGAUCCAUAAAAGAGAUGUUCGUCCUGGUGACAAGCAUGUCAUCCGUUAUGCUCCAAUGCUAGCUCGGGAUAAGGAGAGGAUAACGAAUCUAAACCACAUCUACAACAACAAUGACACAUAGGUUGUGUGGAUGCUAAGAAUGAUAAGAGCAUCUUUCACCAGGCUUGUGCAAAUCUUUAGAUUAGGGGCUGCUAUAAUAUAGCAUCCACACUGGUGUGGAAGAGCAAGUUGCUACGUUCCUCCAUGUUAUCGAACAUAGCCGGAGGUUUAGGAUUAUCCACAACACGACCAGGAGAUCAAUGGAUACCGUUUUCACGUACUUUAGGCAAGUGACGUAUGUUGUUGGGGAACUCAGAGAAAAUAUGACCAGGUCACCAACCGACCGGACUCCUAGUAAGAUACGCACUAGCCCAAGAUGGUAUCCAUAUUUCAUGGUGAGCACCGACAGUAUGUAGUUCAUUCCUGGACAUGCUUGUAUUGUUCUACUAUAUCGAUUACACCAUCUCUUCAUGCCAUUUUAGGAUUGCAUUGGGGCAAUAGAUGGUACUCAUCUCACUACUUGAGUUCGGUGUUAUAAUCUGCAACAUACAUGAGGAGAAAGCACCACACAAGCCAGAAUGUUCUUGUUGUUGUUGACUUUGAUCUGAAGUUUACAUAAUUGCUAGAUGGAUAGGAAGGAUCCGCACAUGCUGGUAACAUUCCAGCUGACAACAUGAGUACACCUGAUGACAUAAAUAUCCCCGAUGGAAUGUUCUACCUGGAAGAUACUAGCUAUGCAUGCCAGCCAGGUGUUCUUCCAUUCAGAAAAAUCAGGUACCAUCUAAACGAGUUCGCCGGUAGAAACUAUCCUAGGUCUCCACAAGAACUAUUUUAUCUUAGACGCUAUAGCCUUAGAGUUAUGGUUGAGUGGGCAUUUGGAGCUAUGAGGAAUAUUCUUAAGAUCCUGAAUCAAAAGUCAUUCCACACUUUUCCCAAACAUGUUAAGCUUAUUCUUACUUGUAGCAUUUUGCAUAACUGAAUCGUGUAAUGGGGUUGUGAUGACCUGACGUCGGAGGAGGAAGAGGUGACGCGUGAUGAUGUUGUCAGCUCUAACCAUGGUGUGGAGGCAUUUGACGAUGAAGCCUGAAAGAACAAAAAGAUGGAGUGUGCACAAGCAAUAUGAGAUAACACAGCUAAGACGAGGAUCUGAAGAAGAAGAGGAACAACAAGAACGGAAAAGAAGAAGCGACGACAAAAGAAGAAACAACGACGACAAAAUAAGAAUAAGGCAAGGAUGGACUUCCAACUAGUUCGGCAUCGGUGAACUAUCCCUGUUGAGUCAUUUGACUGUUUAUUUGUAAUGAUAUUUUCUAAUAGUUAGAACGAACUGUGAUUCCUUUUCUAAUUAGGACUGAAACUAUGUCCGGAUCGUACAUGAUAAGGUCAUCGCUAAUGAGAAGUGAUGAUAGCGCCUUAUACAGUUUGCAACCAAACGACUUAGUUUGUGCGUCCUAUGCAACGUAGACAACCAAACUAACAAGUAAAUAUUGUUUCCCUCACGUAGCCAAUCUUGAUGCAGACAAUCAAACUAUAUGCAGAUGAUCUCUAACACAGUCCCAUCUAAGAUGUAAAGAAAGAGAAAAAUGAUACAGUCAACCAAACACGCCAUAAACCAGGGCCCUCGCUCACAUCGUCGAGGUACCGGUGCUUGGCAUGCAGAUCCGACCUCGUACGAAUCGCAACACCCCGCUUGACCUGUUGGCUGCGCGCUGCUUGAGGUAAGGCCCUCGGGACGGGAGGGAGGGAGGAGGGGCCCAAAGCCUCUCGUCUCGUCUCGCACCACAAAAAGGAUCGCGUGUCUCGUACACCGUGGUUUUUAAUCACUCCCCUCCUUCCUUCUUUCCUGGAGCUGGAGCUCUUUACUCCACUCUCACUACUCACUCGUCACACGCCACUCGAUCCCAUUCCAUUCAGCGCACAAGCCCAGCAGCAGCAGCGGCAAUGACGCCGCGCGCGUCGUGAGACAGACCUACAUACAGGCGGUGUUGGCGCUCGCUGGCGGUGGGGGGGCGAUUAACCGGGCCAGUCUGCGCGCGGGCCAUGGCGGGCGGCCCGGCGAUGGCUCCUGCGGCGGCGUGGUGGCCAGGCGCGGGGGCGGGGGCGCAGGAGCACGAGGAGAUGCGGUGGCGGCAGCUGGAUGGCGGCGUCAGCGCGGUCUCCUUCGGCUUCGUCGCCACGGCCAUGCUCGUCUCCAUGUUCCUCGCCAUGGCCGUGCUCGAGCACUUCCUCCGCGCCCCGCCCAUGGGCCCGCCGGAGCCCUCGCCAUCGCCGCCCCGAGGCGGGGUCCUCCUCCGCCUCCUCCGCCGCCGCGGCGCCGGAGGCAGACCCCCCGGCGCGGAUCUCGAGGCGGCAGGGAAGCUCGACGCCGGACGCGCGUCCCCCGAGGUACCACUACGACGGCACUGCUCCCCCCGCACGCCCCGCCGCCGCCCCCAUUCCCCAUCCGCUCCCGCCUCCCCCCCGCUUUUCAUGAUUCCGUCGUCUCGCCCUUUUUUUACCCUUUCCGCGUCGCUUUUACUGCUCACCGUGCGUGUGGCUGUCUGUGUGCACUUGAGAGUUGAGGCCGACCCAGAUUGCGCAUCAUUUCGUUCCUCCACCACACUCGACUCCGCCAUGAUGCAUCGGCCAUGGCUAGGGCCAGGACCUAGGAGGGAAGCAUCAGAGGAGGAUGCCCAUUGCCCAAGCAGGGACCAAGAGAUUCCUGCCUCGAUUUUUAUGGUGGCUCAAGAAAGUAUCUUAAUAACAUACACAUCAAAGGAGCACAUUUUGAUCUGCAGCGCCGAACCAGAUCUUGCUGAUGUGGUUCAUCACUUGAUCACAGCUCAUCUUCGUCAGUAGUUCAUAGUAGCAGCGUAUCCAUCCAUUAUAGUCGAAGUGAUGUUAAGUUCGUCCAAACUCUGAAACAACUCAUUAAUUAGCUUGGUCGAGAUGUGUCCUACUGCUAGUACCUCAACCCCACAGGUCUCUGUUAAGCCACAACUCAUUUAAUUAGCCUGGUCGGGAUGCCCCACUGCUUCAACCCCACAGGUCUCUGUUAAGCCGUUAGCCACAUCGAUUUCUCCUGUCAUAUUAGCCCUACACAAGUACCAGCUGCAGCUGCUGUCUCAGCAGUUAAUCAUUCAUCAUUAUUUAGAUCGCUUUAUGCUAAGUGGCCACAUGGUGUUUUUUCAGGAAAAUGAGUUAAGAGUAGAUUGAUCACAGGGGUGGAUCUUCCUGAUGCAAUCGAUUUCUAUCCUUCUGUACUCUCUCUUGUGGAUAAGUUCAGUUGGCACCUUCAUAUGGCUUGUAGCAACAUUCUUGUCCAUUUUGUAUGGUGUGAUAUGUAGUGGUAGAAGACAAGGGGAGUUGCUAUUUAAGAUCAUGGGUUGUGGAAUUGAGAGGGGGGUUUGGCAGACAGUGUGGAACAGACAAGGCCCACCCCUGUCUGCACCUAACAACAAGGUCUAAAUCACAUUCUAGCUUCCAAUAUUUGUUCUCCAUCCAAAACUCAGACAGCCACAGCCUGCAGGCCCCAGAUGAUGUGGUCAUCAUUUGUUUGCUCGCUGUCAAAUGUGGAACCUCCUGUUACUAAGAUGGACCAGCAUCACAAUUUACUUUGAGCUUGUACUGUGCCCCAUCAUGGAAAUCAAGAAAGUCAGUUAAUUAAACACGGGAGGAGCGUUGAAGUACGGAGUAUAAAUGGUGCCCUUGUCUAAGAACUUGACUUAACCCUUAGAAACUUGAUGCUAGACUUCACACAAAAAUAAGGGGUUGUCUCUUGCUCGCUAGCUGGGCCGUACCAUGAGCUGCUCGCAGCCAUGCUCACAGGGUUCGCCUCAGUGGUGCAUGACUACGCGCAGCUCCUUUCCGUCGCUCCUGCUGGUCGGCAUACCCAGCAUACCCUUAGUUGUGCCGCCUGUUUGUUGUUCGCCGAGAGAUUGAGGGAGGCGUUAGGGGCUUAAUGAAUGAGCAUGCAAGGAGGAGUAUUUUUAUUAACUACUAGUAUAUUAUAAGUUUGAAAUAUUGAUUGGAGGAGUAUUUUUAGUAACUGUAGUAUAUUAUAAGUUUGAAAUAUUGAUUGGAGGAGUAUUUUUAGUAACUAGUAUGUUGGAAGGUAUUGUAAAAGGGAAUGAGGUUGAUUGAGCGCCGUCAAAAUAUGAAAUUCAGUAUUUUUCUGUAGUCUUUCUGAAAUCUGCCAAAUCACCUUUCUGCUAUGAUAUAGAAAAACAAAAUGAUAUAUCACCUGUUACCGACCCUGUCUAGCCAUCUAACGUGCCAAGUAUAAGCCACCACAUAUAAAAUUCAGUAUUUUUCUGUAGUCUUUCUGAAAUCUGCCAAAUCACCUUUCUGCUUCUUCCAUGUUUUCAUAGUGUGUUUGUCAAUAACAGCAUCGGGUAUUGAGCUUUGUUCCCAUUGUCUGCAAUGAACGUUAUCAUCCAGCUAUUAUGUUAUAUUUCAUUUCUCGAUGACAGGUCAUUCAUGGCCGUUACUGAAUCUAGACCAUCAGUCCCAGCUUCCAUCCAAGUUCAGAUAAAUUUCUGAUCAGUUCUUGGGUAGUAGGGGCUCCAGUUCCACCCAAUUCCAGGUUAUCAUUAUUCAGGUUGCAUACCAUAGUGGAUGUUGAUCCUGGCUCUAGGACCUGCUCGAGAUGACCCUGGAACCAAGUAGCAAAGGUGUCUUGAUGGCAGAUUGGCAGCCACACCUCAGGGGGAGGAGGAGAAAAAUGGAAAAAUAUAGUAUAGUACUCCCUCCGAUCGAAAUUAAUUGAUGCAGCUCUAGUGCAACUUUGUACUGAAGUUGUACUAAAGCUGCCUCAAUUAAUUUGGAUCAGAGGGAGUACUACGUUUUUUUCUGCUUAAUCCAACCAAAAGAAGUGCCAAUCCUUAUAUCGGAGGUGCUUGCCCCUAACACAAGUAACUAAUCUUACCUUUCCUAACUUAUACAAAUAUAAAGAAAACAAACUUUGGGGAGAUGAACCUUUGUAGCUGCGGUGCAAAUGAAAUUCCCUUUAUUUUAUUUUCCAGAUUUAAUUGUAGUCAGAUACACACUCUAAAGCAAUAGCAGUAUGCUAGAACAGGCAUCUGGUAGACGUAGCAUCGAUAACUCAUCUUAUGCACAGUUGUUCCACCAUCUAUGGACCUAUUUACCCGAAUAUUGACAUACCAUACAUCCAAUGAUUUUUCAUCAUCUGUUUCAGUUUUGCAGUUGGGUUGGGUUAAUUUGAUUCGAUUGGUUCUUGGGGAUGUUAUGGCAUCUUGUUUUUUGUGUUGAUAUUCAUUCUGCUUCCCUUCUCACAAUCAUAUGAAAAUAAAAAAUACAACUGAUUAUGAAAGCAAAACAUCCCUCCUAUUUCUGACUACAUACACAUUCUUACUGAUUACUUGGCUUAUAUGUGGCUUUGCAGAUGCCUGUCUAUUCCAAAGGGGUAUCCGUCCUGAUGCCGGGACAGGACGUGCCGACGUUCAUCGCGCAUCCCGCGCCUACGCCCUGCCCCCCGGAGAGGGUCCGAUGGCCAUCGCACCAGCCCGCUCCGUUCGCCGGUUCCUCAUCAAAUCCAAGCUAGCGCGUGGCUGCCGGACCGAGCACCGAGCACCCUUCUGUCUGUCUCACCAUCCAAGGGAAGGGGUAAAAUGCCGGCGGAAUGGCGGCGGUCCACAGGAGCACACCUCUGGUUUCUUCUGUGGCCAUGUCACCUCCGGCGCCUUGGUGGAACUGAAGAGGUUCUCUCCAUGCGUUGUACAGUUUAGAUGUCUGUUGCGGAGCAAGUUUUGGUAGCUCCUGCUGCCUGCCUGUAUUAUGGCGGGAGAAGAGCGGCUAGCCUGGUGGAUCAAUGGAAUUGUUGCCGAUCCCGCUUGCUCGGCUAGUGGUGUUUAGAUGCUUUCGUUGUCGUUGGUUAUAGAGUCGGUCGUAGAUGUGCGUCAUGGAUGGAUGUACUUGUACACGUCUUGUGUAAUUUCGUUGCAUAAAUGACUUGAGCCUAUUGGAGCUGAGCCCCCAUCAGCCUCGUAUCGUAUCAUUGCGCAGAAAAGGAAAAAAAGCCUCGUAUUUGCCAAGCUCGUGGUCACAAAUUACAUAGAGUAGUAUUUAAGUUUUUUUAAUAAACUAGCACAAAUGCCCGUGCGUUGCAACGGAAGACAUUGUUACAUGUCUUAUGACUACAGCUAUUUUUCUCUUUUCUCGUCUCAGUUUGUCAAACGUACAUGUGUUACAAUUGAAUAAAAAAAAUUCUUUAGAUUCCUACUGUUUCCGUAUAUGCUUUUUGAGGAGAAAAAAUGGCCAGCUUGAUUUAUGAAGCAAGUUAAAUACCUCAACAGGUUAUUAACACCUUUUAUUAUGCUCACCAAUGUUUCAUAUAUUUUCAUUUUAAUUACUCACUCCGUUUUUAAAUUUGUGCGCCAUAUAUUUAAAUUUGUGCGUGAAAUAACAGCCCUUAAAAGCGCCCCUCACAGUUCUGUGUUUUACUAAUGUAAAAAAUAUGCUCAAUAGAGAAAAUAACAAAAUAAGCUUAUGUGGGAUCGAAUCGAUGACUAUGGGUUAAAAGCGUUGAGCUCUAGCCAUUUGAACUACUAAUAUGCUAAUGGUAAAUUUGUAGUCCGCUGGUUAAUAACCAUAGUAAAGCGUAGCCACUUUACAAAGGAAAAACGAAACGUUUGGUUAAUUACACUUUAUUUAUUUAUUUAAUUAUUCUUAUUUGUUUUUUUUCCUUCGUAGGUUUUAUUGGUUCUUUAUUACACUUUAUUUUUUGUAUGUUUCUUAGUUUUGUUGGUUUUUCUUGUUUUUGCACUGGUAUUCCUCGGGUUAAUCACUGAAUUUUUUAUUUUUACCGGUUUUGUGUUUCUUUGUCAGUUUUUAUUUAUUUCCUUUCUUCUUAUUUAUCUUCAGUUUUUAUUUCGUACAUUUUUGGUUUUCAAUGAUUUUUUUUUCCUUAUUACUUUAUUUUUUCUCUGUUUUCACUAUUUUUUAUUAUUGCUAUGUUUAUCAUUUGAAAACAUAAUUCAAUAAACCAAGGAAGAGACAAUCAACAUAUAUAUAGAAGCAUCUCAAGAAAAAGAUAUGUCCACCAAUAAAUAAUUGAAUCUCAUUUGUGAAAUACUGACAGCAAAUGUAGAAUACUGAUAGUUGGCACUUCAUAUGACAAUGAGAAAAUAAACCACUCCUAUAAACUCUUUUGUUCUCGUUAUUAUUCACAUGCUUAGCUAAUGUUCAGGUUUUUAGGAUAAAUCAUAAAUAACCAUAACCAUGAUAACAGUCAAGCUUAUCGGGUUUAUUCCGCCUACCCUAUGAGAUAAAGGCAAAAAAAUGGAACAUGUUCUGUGGAUCUGUGCACAUCAAACUUUGCAAUGUGUGGUACAUAAAGGACAAUUUAGAAUAUACAUAUAUCCUGAUACCUAAUUGUUACUUGCUUUCUCAUCUCCCAUGUGCACUCUACAUAACAUAUGCAUACAUUACAGGCUUCAAGCGUUCAUGAAUUUCUUCAGCAAAUUUAACAUUAUCACAGAGUAAGUCAAACUUGUGACCCAGCAUGCUAAGGGAAACAAAUUCUAAUAGCAAACAGUGAAACUCCCCAAAACUGUCAGAUUGCUGAAAUAUAUCUCUAUUUCCUGUGCUGGUUAAUCUUCGGAUUCUGACUCACCCUUGCAUUCCUCGCAUAGACAGGUCAUAUCCUCCUUUAAUAUUCAAGUCUAAUAAGAGCAGGUCCUCAAUUUUCAGGGUGCAUUUGGCAUUCUUCGCCUCCUGACUUCGUACACGGUAGAGCUGAAAAUCCAAAUUAUUAUCAUGAAGAUUGUCAUCAGAUAUAGCUUUCACCGGCUGUUCAGUGCUUUCUUCAUACACAUGUGUUCCAUUGUCUGACAAGCCCGGAAGGGCUAGGUUAAAGUCUGUAAGCUGUGAUCUAGCAUUUUCUAGGCCAGCAGAUCCAUUUGCAUCAAAGGAAAUGUUUUCUUGAGCUUUCUCUAGUAUUUCCUUUAAAUAUCUCACUUGAGCCUCUAUUCGCAUCUGCAGCUUCUUCUGCACCUGAUCACAGAAAUAAGCAUUUUUUUAGGCUGAUACAAGCAUUUUUAACCUAUAUGGUACAGAAUUUGGUAGUAUAAGCAGUGAUGCACAACUUUUCUAACCUCAAGUUGUUCACACAAUUCUCUUUGGACCUGGAUUUGAUACCUGAGGGUGUCCUCAAGCGGCAUUUAUCUGAUUCAUAUAAGAAAUGUUUUGAAAAUGGUUAGUUAAAUCAUCAUACAGUCUCAACUGAUGAAAAAGGCACAUAGAAGACAUAUGACAGUAAGUAAUCAGUAGGAUUCCCUCUUUGUGACUCUAUAUAAGGAACUUUGCAUAUAUACUUAUGGAAGGGCAAAAUUAAUCACAACCAAGAAAAGCUAGUGAUUGCUACUAACUUGUACAACUACUAAAGAUCUCACUUUUCAGUUAUACAUGAGUAUCUCUAAUACCAAUGCUGGUUUAAGUUCUGUCCUGCAGGCAAAAACAAUAGUGCUUGAUUUCUAUAUAUGCCUGGUGAUCAUUGAGGAUUUAGCUCUAGCACAUGAUGCCUUAGCGCAUGGUUAGUCUCAAAUUUAAGUUGACAGCUUGAUUGCCCAACACAAAACAAAGAACCGUACUGCACUGUCGACGGCAAAAAUUAGUCGACCUUUUUCUUUAAAAUUAUGCUUUGAACAGUACUACAAAAUCAUUGGAGGGACAGGAAAACAGAGUAUGUAGUACUCAUCUAAUCCCUUAAGUGUUCAGAUUCAUAAGUAAAUCGCCUUAGUUCAGUCCAGGGAAAACUUACAAGAUAAUUCAACAUCAUUUGUCUUUUUACGUAGACACAAUUUAGUAGAUUAAUUGCCUUCAGUAUUUUGCGUCAAACAAUGUUAAGCAGUAAUAACGUAGUAGUAUAAGCAUCAUGCAACCAGAAUCAAAUGGAGAACAGAUGAGAAGGAAAUAGAAACUCACCAGUCGAGUCCAUGUCGUAAACCUUGACAUCCAUGCGUUCAACCGCUUCGCCAGAUGAUCAUACCUCCCACUUCCAAAUCGAUACACCAAACCAUCAGCUACCGGCGACAUGAUUUACUGUAAUUUUUGAGUAAGCAACAGAGAAGAAGGGGAUCAAAUUCUCAGCACGACGGCGGCCUUGGCCUUCUUCCCAGAGGAAGACGCCGAGACGGCGUCCGCGAUGGCGGCCGAGUCCACCUGGGGCGCGCGCCAUCGGAAGGGCAGGAGCAGGAGCAGGAACAGGAGCAUCGGCUGGAGCACGGUGAGGAUCCGACGCAGCGCGAGCAGCGACAGCAGCGCGCUGAUCCUGCCCGCCGCGUCCGCCGCCUGCAUGCUCCCGGCCAUCCCUCUGCUCUGCCCCUCCUCCGUUAGGUCCAGGAGCGCUGGCGAGGCUGGCGAGGUCAACGGGGUGAGGCGACGCUGGCGAUAUGGAUCCCCGAUCCAGAUCGGGUCGGCGAGGCGGCGACGCGAUGCAGGGUCCAGCGCGGGAUGAUGACUGCUCUUGUGGCCGGAUCUGGCGAAGAACGACGAUGAGCGGCGGAGGUCCAUGGCCAUGGCGGUCCUGCGGAACAGGGGAAGAGAGACCUCAGAUGAGAGAGAGGGAACGGGAGAAAGGAGAAGGAAGGCGCGGCGCGGGCUGCCAUGGUCGGGAUCCGGGCGGAGGAGCUGUCGGUGCUCCGGCGGCGGCAGAGCUCCAAUGAACGCCCACCGGAGGCGGUAUCGGGUGUGCGGCUUCGGGAGGAAGGAGAAGGAGCUCAGGGGCUGGCGGCGGCGGCGGAGGGCUUUUUUACAAAAAAACAAAACGUUUUCUUCCACUUACUAUAGGAUUGCGGGUUGAUUUCAAUAAGCCUCAGGGGCUUUUUUUGCAGAAAAACCAUGACGGACGACAGAAGUGCUGCGCGCUUUAUUAUUAGGGGAGAUACAUGGUCUACAUAUCUCUACAAUUAAAGGGGGAUCUGCCGUCGUGAUAGUUCGACCUUCCUUCCCCGUCGUACGAGUUCCCCUCCCACCUAUCGAUCCCCCGACGCGAUUGCAUCGUUAACUUCUUUUUUGUUUACCGCGACCCACCCACGAUCCCGCACGUCCUCUGUGAAUCCACCCCACAACCGCACACCCGCACGCGUCCCGGAUCCCGCCCCCGCUCCAUCGCGCCCAUGCGCCGUCACCUCUCUUGCGCCACCGCGCCCGCUCCCGGCCAUCACGCCCGUACGCCGCCACCUCUCCCGCACCACUACGCCCUAGCCCUGCUCGACACUCCCGUAUCCGCCCCCGCCGCCCCGCCCCGUCGCUCAUCCCUCGUCGUCCGCCACGUCGCUGAGCCCCCGCCGGGCCGUCCCGCCGCUCAUCCCUUACCGGCCGCCCCGUCACUCCUCCUCCGCUCGUGCCACCGUACUCGCGCCGCAUCAUCGCUUUCGUGCUCAUUCCAUGUAAUGCCCCAAGUUUAACCUUGUCAUAUUUGGAACCUUCCANNNNNNNNNNNNNNNNNNNNNNNNNNNNNNNNNNNNNNNNNNNNNNNNNNNNNNNNNNNNNNNNNNNNNNNNNNNNNNNNNNNNNNNNNNNNNNNNNNNNNNNNNNNNNNNNNNNNNNNNNNNNNNNNNNNNNNNNNNNNNNNNNNNNNNNNNNNNNNNNNNNNNNNNNNNNNNNNNNNNNNNNNNNNNNNNNNNNNNNNNNNNNNNNNNNNNNNNNNNNNNNNNNNNNNNNNNNNNNNNNNNNNNNNNNNNNNNNNNNNNNNNNNNNNNNNNNNNNNNNNNNNNNNNNNNNNNNNNNNNNNNNNNNNNNNNNNNNNNNNNNNNNNNNNNNNNNNNNNNNNNNNNNNNNNNNNNNNNNNNNNNNNNNNNNNNNNNNNNNNNNNNNNNNNNNNNNNNNNNNNNNNNNNNNNNNNNNNNNNNAAGUGGUGUGCAAAGCUUGGGUUUAACUAUGUAGUUUUUCAAACUAGAGUUCAAAGGAAGCCCCCUUCUUCCUUAUUUUCUUGAGCUCAAGAUUUACUUGCUCUGAACCUGAUUUUCAAAUGUAGAUCUAUUAGAGCAUUUUCUUGUGGAUGUGGCGAUGUGUCUAGGCCAUUUUAAAAAAGCUUUGCUUAAAUGGGGUUNUGGGUUCGAGUCCCAGAGGCGCCCUUUUGCUAUUUCCUUGUUUUUGUGGUGGAGUAUCUUGACAGGAGUUGAUACCCUGCAUGUUUCCCCUUCCCUGUCGAAGUGGAGCGGCUAGCCCAGUGGUGGGGUGUUGGUUGUGCAUCAGUUAGGUCUUGGGUUCGAUUCCAAGCACCCCCUCCCCCUUUUAAUUUUAUUUUUCCUUUUGCUGUUUUCAAGUAUGCUUGCAAUGUUCAUUGCUUGGGCAGCAAGCUAGUGCUCCCUUUUAGCUAGUGUGUGUGUAUGUGAGUAUAAACAUGUGUAUUUAUGUGUGAGGGCAAGUUCUUGCAUGGUGUGUGUGUAGUUGAAGCAUGUGUAGGUGGGUGUUGUGUGUAUGUGUGCAUGGGAGCAUAUGCACUAGUGUGUGCAUGUGUGUUUGUGUGUGGGUUACCCCCACAUAUUUGUGCAAGUGUGCACCAAGACAUGUAUGUGUGUGUGUGUGUGUGUGUGUGCAAGUGCUUGUGCAUGCACUUGUGUGUGUAGUGGUAGUGUAUGUGUGUAAUGCCCCAAGUGUAGGACUUUCCCUUCUUGUAACCUUCCAUGUGGGGCCACCUUGUCAGAGAUCUUGAUGAUAUCUUUUGUGCCAUGAAUUCAUGUGUGUUCCCUAGUGCUUACUUCCCUUGCAUGCAUGAAUUACAUAUCAUUCCUUGCCAUACUUAUGAUUGCAUGCCAUGAUCAUGUUGCAUUUGAGUUUAAUAGGAGUAGUGUUGUGGUGUUGUGAGUGCAUGUGAUCUUGCUAGGAUUAAGUGGUGGUUUUGCACUACCUUGUGAUGCAUGUGAUAAUGGUGUGUGUGAUGUAGGAGUGAGUGCUAGUCUUUUAAAGCUCUUGCCUUUUAAACUCCUUUUCCCUCCUAUUUUUAUUCUUGUCAAAAUUCCUUCUUCCCAAAGAUGAUUCUAAAAUGUCUAGUGGUUAGAUAAAAUGUGCUUAUGAGGGAGUGCAAUUUUUCUGAUUUGAAUCUUUGAUUUAAGUGGUGCAAAUAAACUCAAAACAGUAGCUUAAUUACUGUUUUGCAUUUAUUUCAAACAUCUCCAAAUAUUGCUUGUCUAUUUUUCCCUAUUGGGCCAUUAUUUCUUAGGUCUAGCGGGAUUUUCCUUUUAUUUUUUAACCCAGUAGUUAUUUUGGGUAAUAUAUUUUUCUUUCCUUCCCUGGGUGCAUUUGUUUCUCUGUUCACCUAAUUGGAUAACUUCCUGGGUAUCUAAUUCUUUCCCUGGCCCAUUAAGCCUUCUCCCGUGCUGGCCCAGUUGGACUCCACCCCUGGCGACAGAGCCCACUGGCGAGCGUUUCCUUCUUCCUCCCGACGUCACUCCUGUACGACGUGCGCUCCACCUCUCGAUCACUCUCUCCUUGAUCCAGCGGCUCGAGCUCGCCUCCCGAGACGUUAAAGAGGAGCCCGGGACCCCCUCCUCCGCCCUAGGGUUCCCUCUCCGUUUUCCCCCAGCGCCGCCAGUGUCCUCCUGCCCUCGUUCUUCCCUGGUAAGUUUCAGAGAGGAAGCAGAGAGAGAGAGAGAGUGCAACGCCUCCUUCGUCAACCCGCCGAUCCGUCGUCUCCGGCACCGGCCGCCAUGGGAGUCUCCUUCCCUGCUUCGGUCUACGUCGGAGGAGCUUCUUCGGCGUCCUCCUCCCCGUUCGGCGCCCCAUCUUCUCCCAAGGUGAGGCCGCGUCCUCCCCGUCCUUCCUCCGCCGCGGACCGGCUCGGUCCCGUCGGGCGCAUGCUUCCUCUGUUAGUAGCAGCAGCAGGUUAGAGGAGCAGUAGCGGCUGUUCUGUGCCGAGUUUGUGCGUGCGUUGUCGAGAGGAGAGGCAAGGCGUAGUGGUGUAGCAGGGUGUUGGUAGCAGUUCGACGCGUAGUAGCAGCAGCAGCAGCCGGCAGUAGGCGCUAGCAGUAGCAGCAGCAGCUAGCCGGUGCAACUUAUCAGCUGCAGCGGCAGAGCACACUGCUGCGUUCCGGGCAGCCAAAGGAGGGACCUUUUCCCGUGCUCAGGGUGGGAAUGGAUCCCCUGAGAGUCCCGCGGGCCCCGCCGAUGGUUUCCCCUGCCGGUGGUGGCCGGGAGUGGCGCCGCCAGCGUCCUCGGGUCCGGCCGCCGGCAGAGCUCAUCUCGUGAGUGGAGUGGGUUUUACUUUUUACCUUCUCGUCUUAGCCAGUCUCCGGUCCGUAGCCCGAUGGUAGUGUUGCUCUGUCUUGUGCUUGCGCCUGAUGAGAGGUCCAGGGUUCGAGUCCCCCCCUCGGCGCCCUUUUGAUAUUUUGUUUUGAUUUAUGUUGCGGGUAGAUUACCUUGCCUUUUUCCCUUCUCCUGUUAACAUCAGUAACAGCAGCGCAGUGGUAGAUGUGUGUUUGUGUUAUCGUCAGGUGCAGGGUUCGAAUCCCAUGCGUUGCACCCCCCUUUUUAUCUUGCCUGUUUCCUUUCUGAUUUGCAGUAGGGCAGCACAACAGAGUUUAACCUCUGUUUGGGUCCUUCUCUGUCGAGCCCCAUGGGCAUAGCAGAGUGGGUGGGUGCAGUAGAGAGCAUCAGCAGGUUCAGGGUUCAAAUCCUGACCCCUCUUGCUAUUGUGUUCUUUCCCUGUUGUUUUUUUUCUUCUGCUACAUUUUUUUUAAAACACCCUUCUUACUAUUGCCGAUCUUGUGCCUACCAAAGGUGGCCAUGGAAUUAUGUUUUUUUUUCCUUGCUGUUAUAGUUGUGCUAGGUGAUGUAGUGUGUGUGGUUGUGCUUGUGAGAGAUGUGCAUGUGAGUGUGUUUUCCUUGUGCUUGGAGUGGGCUCUUGCACCAUGUGGGGCUAGUAGAUUGUGAUGUGUGUGCAUUAGCUUGUGGUAGCUCUAGUAUAGAUAUGUGUGUGAGAGCCUCACCCAUGGCAAGGCAUGAAGAGCAUUGAUGUGCUCAUGAGUAGUAGUGUGUGGUGGUGUUGGAUUCAUUUAGGGAGUGUAGCUAUUGUAUGCUCUAACUAGUUCUAGUAGGACUAGAUUUGUGUCAUGCUAGAUAUGUGGGUGGUGUGGACCUCCCCACCUUUACAAGUGGUGCACCUCCUCAUGUUUAAUAUGAGAGAGGGCAUAUUGUGUGUGUGGGGUUGGCUCAUGUGUGUUGGUGUUGUUGAUGUGCAUGACACAAACAUGGGGUUCAAACCCCCAUGUCACUUUGUCAUUGUGCACAUGAAACCCUCCUAUGUAUUGUCAUCUUAGAAGAAUACCUUAUGGAUUUGCAUUUUUAUUUUGUUGAAAGUUUGGGCUUUGUUUCCAUGAUAUAGAUGGAGCCCAAAGGCAUGGAUCUUGGUGUGUUAGUUGUAGGGGUUUGCGCUCAAUACCAUAGUGGUGUCAAACACCUCUUGGGAACUUGUGUGUGCAAACUAUGCCUAGACAAAGUGGGCAUGUGGUUGGGAAAUUCCAGAUUUUUGAACUCUGAAAAUUUCACUAAGUCUGGAAUGCUGAAAACAUUUUCUUCCCCUGUAGAUAAGGUUUUUCUGGUCAUUAUGUUGAGAACUGGACUUAGUUCAGUGCUAGUCUUUUGAACCUGGGGUGUUUGUGAAGCUUCCUGUCAAUUUUCAAGUCAUUUGGAGUCCAGUAGCUUGUGUUUUGAUUGCUGUAAAAAAGCUUCAGAACAGAAACAGAAACUCAGGUGCAGGAAUUUUCACUAAGUCCCUGAGAACUGAUGGUUUUGGGAAAGUUUGUGGCCUUGUAUCUUCUAGAGUUUAAUUCCUUUUGCUGUGAUUCUUGCUGGAGCUUGUAGUGUUCUUGGUUGGAAACAGCCACAUAUAUUAUUUGUCGUAUUUGAAGACCUGUAGCUAUGUUGCAUGUGGCUCACAAACAGCUAAGAUGCAGAAACUGGCAGAUUGCGUAGUUUUGACAUUUUGUUCAAAGUUUGUGUUUAAUUGUUGUUGGGGUGUUCUACCUUGCUCCAUUUCAUUCAUGUUGGGUUAAUAUAUGUCUUGGAAACCUGGGAACACCAGAUUUGUGCCAAUUGUGUGUGUGGUGAUGAAUCUUUCACGUAGGGCUUCAUAUCGUGUUUCGUUGAUUCCCGUUGAUCCGUAGCUCCGUUUGCAAAGUUCUUUACAUGGUUUUGCACCGUUUUUACGAGCUGCAUCUGUUAAUAUCAUUCCCAGGCAUGUCCAAAUAGUUUAGUGCAAAGUUAUGUCCAGGAACUUGUUGUAGUUUAUCCUGCUUGUGCUAGUGUUAGAAAUAGUGGUGCAUGCUCAACUUUCAUCUCAUGCAUCAUGUGAUUGUUGCAUUUUGUGGUGCUGCUGUUCAUUGGCUGUUAUUUCUUGUGUUGGGUAGCACCGGGAGCGGAGAACGAAUACGUGGAGUCAGGAGAGUACGUGCAGGACGAUCCAGAACCAUUCCAAGCUGAGGAUAUCACAGGCAAGAUGACAUGACCUUGAUCCCAUAUCUAGACUUGUUAUGUUAGUUUUGAUUCCACGUCAUAUUGCUCGCUGCCUACCACUGAAAAUAUAUUGCCUCUUCAUAUGCCAUGAGCCUAAACACUUUACUCUUUCCUAGCAAACUUGCCUGGCUAGGUAGGCUUGCUCAGCUACUAAUGUUAGCAUUGUUAGUUGCAGGUGUUUAUAACUCAUGAGUUGCCAUGAGCUUGAUAUCAUUAUAUUAAAUUUCUGUUAUUUAAUUAAUGUAUCUAUAUAUUUGGUAAAUGACGGGAGGCCUAGCCUUUUGCCGGGUGUCUUGUUCCGUUAUUGCCGCCUUAGUUACCGGUUACCGGUGUUUGAUUCCAUAAUGAUCGCUCCUAACACGUUCGGGGUUGUUAUGGGGACCCCCUUGAUAAAUCGCGUAGUGUUAAGGCUUGUCCGGCAGGACCCAACUUUGGUUUUAAUCUGCUAAUCACAUAAUAAUCUGCAUAGGGAAUAGCUACCCCGAGGAAUUUACUCAACAACCCGGGCCAGUGCUCCCCAUGAGUGUUGGCCCCACCUGAGCGAUGUCCGGGGCCCCACUGGUCACCCACAGGUUUAGCCAUCCGGACGUCUAGCUCAUCUGUCGUGUCCUGAGACUGAGAUACGCGGCUCUUAUCAGGGUCGUCGACACGACGGGAGGUCCUGCUAGCCUUGUCUUGCCUUAGCGGUAUAUCUUGCGUAUAGGAAUCCCGGUGAAGCUGUGGUUUUCCCCAGAGUUGAGGUUUUCCUCUAAGGAAUCCGACGAGAUCACGAGAUUCGUGAUAGAGGAUGCCUUUGCGGCCUGUGUUCGUUUGUGAUGGACUAGUUGGAGCACCCCUGCAGGGUUUAAUCUUUCGGAAAGCCGUGCCCGCGGUUAUGUGGCAACUUGGAAUAUCUUGCUAACAUCCGGUAUUAGAAAACUUAAACAUAAACUAAUAAAAUAUGCCAACUGUGUGUGUAACCGUGACUGUCCCUUCGAAGUCCUCUCUUCGAACGGGAACACGGUGGGGUUAUGAAUGUCGUAGGUAGGGGUUCAGGAUCACUUACUGAUCAAGCAUUCUUGUUCGUUAGCGUAGACCACGUUUACUUCCUUCUCGCGUAAGUUAGCCACUUAUUCAAUCAUAGGUUGCAGCAGCCUGAAACACUUCUUACCUUCCUUACCCAUCAACAUGACUAGUUCUGGCACCAAGGUCUUAGAUUGCUGAGUCCCCGUGGCUCACGGAUUCCUCCGAAACUUCCAGCAGGUACAGGUACCCCAGAGACCGAUGGUCCCGAUGGCAUCCAGCUAGCGUGGCAGUACGACGAGGAGACAGACCGUCUUUACGUGAACUAUCCAGAGGACUGAGCCAUGGUCGUGAUCGUGGGCCCGCAGCCGGUAGCAUAGCAUUUCCCUUGUUUUGUAGUCCGUACCGGAACUACCUUGUUUGUAUCUGCGUUGUACUCUGUAUUAUUAAUAAGAAGACAGUUGAAUCCCAGAUUGUCUACUAUAUUUAUUAUUAUGUGCUAUGUUUACUUGCUUGCAAAACACUUAGAUGCGCUUCUUUCCUAUUCGGGGGCCUCGACUCCCAGAUCGGAAAGGACCGCAUCUUGGUCGUUACAAUGUGUGUGUGUGUGUGUCACACACACAUGAGCAAGUGUGUUCAUGGUGGCCUUAGUACACCAUGGGGGUUCUUUGAGCACCUAGGGAUAAGUGGGUGAGUGUCAUGUGGUAGUUUUGUGUGUGUAUGCAUGUGUGUAUGUGGUCAUGCAUGUGUGUGUGGGCAUGGGUGCAUCUAUGCACUUGUGCAUGAGGGCUAACCCCUCAUGCUUGCCACCAUGGUGUGUN
rnacentral:lncRNA from 1 species